rnacentral:lncRNA from 1 species
AAUAUCUUCGGUAAACUCCUGAUAAUAUGUAUGGUGCACAGAACACCCAUAACAAGACUCUACUAGACUCAGCUUCAUAGACACCCUAGGACCAUGAACUAUGCUCUGAUACCAAGCUUUUCAUGACCCGAGAAGAGACCCUAUCACAAAGAGCAUCCCAAACCAUAAAGGCCUGAAAGACCCCUUAGUAUACUAUCAUAAGCAUAAUCCAUACAUAAAUAAAAAUAUUGAUGAUAAAAUAAAAUUCAAGAGAAACUCGUAAUCAAAUUAUGUCAACAAGUUGUGACAAUACAAUACUCAAAACUCUUCUAGGUCUACGAAGCCUCUACUGAAUGCUAAUAGUAUAGGUUGAGACAAAUCCCCUAGUUGGACCAUAACUAAAGAAGUCAACAUAUGAAUAAAUUCCUUCCAAAAUAUGGAUGGCUCACUAACUCUGUCGUAUCCAAAAGUUCUACUAAUGAGAUGGACCAUGUAACUAUACCUCAGAUCCUGUAAUAUGGAGGGUCAAUACUUAGAGAGUAUUGGUAUGUAAAAUAAUACAAAAAUAAUGUAUAUUUUAUGUGAAAUAGUCGAGAGCAUUGUAAAAAAAUAAUUUAUCAUAAUAUAGAUAAAAUCACAUGGUCAUAAUAUGAAAAGCUUUAAUUCAUGCUUGUAAAACAUUGAUUCAACUCUUUGGUUUAGUUCUAAGCUAUAUGGUACUCCCUAAAAGUCUAAAAUCCCAUGGGCUAUAUGGUAUCCGCCCUUGACCCAGUGGCCAAGCCCCCAAUCUGAGUUUGCUGGAAGGAUUGCAGUACGUAAGAAGAUGAAGCAUGCCUCCAUACUAACAUACUAGGUUAUGAAAGAGUCUUCCUCCUUACUNNNNNNNNNNNNNNNNNUGUUCCUCCUUACUGACACACCAUAUUAUGAGAGAGUAUGCCUCCAAACUGACAUACCAUUUCAUAAAACCUGCACCGACAAAAUACAAUUUUGGCUAAUAAUUAUCUGAACUACCAUUUCAUAAAACCUGCACCGACAAAAUACAAUUUUGGCUAAUAAUUAUCUGAACUCAUGCUUUAUUCAGGUAACCAUCUAAGUCUCUUUAAGCCAAAUUUUAAUCCUGUAAAACCAUUCUUUAUGCCCAUAAAAAGUUAAUUUCUUAUUCUAUUAAGGGCAUAUUAUAAUAGGGUAUCGUCAUACCUAGACUUGGAAGUCAUUCAUAUCAUACCAUAUCGUAUCCAUAGCCCUUCUUAUACAUUAAGAUCAUAAAUUUCAUCAUUCUCUCAAAUCCACUUCAAAAUUCAUAGGUGAUAGUAAACAUUUAAACUCAAGGCCUUAAAUCAUACAUUUGAACAACCCAUAACAUGUUAAGACAAAUAAAUUUCAUCAUACAAGGGGGAUUUCAUAAAUCAUGCUCUUAAUUUAAUUUUCAAAACUCACAACAUAUAAACACAUGGCUAUAACUCAAGUUCAUGAUAAAACCCCUAGUAACUUUAUAAUUUUAUCAAAGAUGGGUUCAUGAUGCAUGUUCUUCAAACGAUUUCAAUAAACCCUUCUUAUAUAUACAUAAUUAUAUAUCUUUAAAACUUAUCAAAAAUAUUAAACAUAUGCCCAUGAGAUUUAUGAUAGUCCCACAUAUCUUUUCUCGGUGAGAAAUUGAAGAGAACGGAGAGAGAUUGGCCCUUAGAGAUUUAAAAUCCUUAAACCCGAGGUAGUUUAUCCUCUCUUAAUUAUGAAAUGUUAUUUAGGGAUUUUACAGAGGUGAAAUAACAUGUUUAAGACCUUAUACUCACCCAAAAAUGAUUAAGAAUAGUUUAAGGAUGGUACAAGACCCCUUUGCUCAUAAAAUAACUCAAAAUGGAAUACUUUUUUAUGUUGGGGAAAGGAUUUGCGACGUAGUGCCAAAUAAAACCACUGGGUUUGUGGAAUAAGUCCAAAUAAAACCCAUUAUAGUGGAAUUUCAUGAUCCCUUAAUAGCACAAGCCUAACGCAGACCCUGGAUAGUAUCUUACUUAAACACUCAUAACUUUUGACUCUAAAUUUAGAUUAACAAAUGGUUAAUUGCAUUGGAAAGAGGACUCGAAGAUAUUUAAUUUAAUAUAUAGUGGGCCAUAUAACUCCUUAAAUUCUAGGUAUAAUGGUCAAUGGAAGGUGACCAAGAAAAAUUGUAUACCAAAAUUCAACAGAUAGGAAAGUGCUUAACUUAACUUUGAGCUAGGAGAUUUUUAUAACGUAUACUCAUCUUCAAAGAUGUUCUCAAACUCAAGAAUUGUUGUUCACACUUAGUUAUAACAAUAAACCAUUGUACUCGAGUCUAUAAACAUCAGAAAGAUGGUUCAACUUUAGCCCAAAAAAGUGAGGUGUUACAGUGUCCUACUCACCCUUGCUUUUCUCUCCUUUUUCUUAUUUUCUGCACCCCAUGUAGGUAUUGGAUCAUGUUGAAAUUUUUAUGUUGUUUUAUUCUCAAUUUGAUAUUUUGGAUAUCGAUGUAGUGUUGGUAGACUCCAAGCUUACCCGAAUCUCUCUUUAUUAUCUUAUUCUUGGACACAUUUAAGAAAUUUUUUGUAUUGUUAUCAUUCUAUAACUAGAGGUUUGUACUAAUGAACACCAUAUCUGGGAUAUAUUUUUGAGACUUGUGUCUUAUAUAUAUAUAUAUAUAUAUAUAUAUAUAUAUAUAUAUAUAUAUAUAUGGAAUGCUCUUGUUUACUUUGCUCCACUCUUGAGUUCUUUUUAACUCUUGUUCUUUAGGUUGGGUUAUGCUUACUUGUCUUAUGGGUAUGACAUGUGCCAUCACAUGCCUAUUUUUUUGUUGUGACAUGUUCUCUUCUACUACCACUCGGAUGAUAUUAUUUUCAAUUUUGUUCUUCUUCUAUGCUGUAGAUUAUUUCCUAUAUUUUUUUCAAGAAAAAUUGGCAUAUGCACUAUUUCCUUUUUCUUAUAAUCAUGAUAUCCAAGAUAGAUUGCAUGUACCUAGACUAAUUCUAUGGAAUACCUGCCACCACCCACCUACAACAUGUACCAGGUAACGCUGUCCACCAAAGUUUAGAUAAAUGCAAAGAAAUUACCUAGUGUUUAUCUAUAUUGGAAAUCAUUUCCAUAUGCACUAUAACUCAUUCAACAUUUUUAUUUGAAAGAUCAAAUAGAAUUCACAUAACUACUUAGUUAUAUAAAACAAAAAUCACUUUAUUGAUGGGAUAUAGUUCAAGCGAUUGAUUCAUUAAAUAACUGACUAUCAGGUCCCCUAACCUGUAGAAUAUUUGGUAAGUGUUAUCCAACCAUAGUUAGACAUUGAACACAAUUUUUAGUAGAAUCAAGUGAUUCCUUUCGCUAUUCAAGAAAGAUAUGAUUUCCAAUAAUGGAGUGUGAUCUAAUUUUAUAUUAACAAAUUUGCAUUUGAAAUAGAUCAUGUUACUGAUUUUGCACUUGAGAAGAUUUUUGAAGUCAUAGCUGAGUCCAUCAGCAAGCAAUAAAUAAAAAGGAAAAAAUAGGUUAGGGUGUUUAUAAUUGGGGGUUUAAUUUGAUAUGAAUUAUUUAGGUUAGUGAGUCAGAUUGAAUUAUUGAGGGGAAUGAGUUAUUUAGGGGAAAACGGAUAUUUUUAUUUAAUUUGGAGAGAUUUCAUCUAAAAUAGGGACAUAAUUAAAUACAUUAGGCUGCUUAUCGGGUAGAUAAUUAUGCUUAAUGGUUCGGAUUAUUGGUUAUUGAUGUCAUAAUAUUCAAUUCCAAGGUCAUGAUGACACCUAUUUUGAACCAACCUUGAUAAGUAAGACAACACAAAGAUAGAAUAAACACUGUAAAAAUACAAAUAAAUAGAAUAAAACUUGAACUUCUGAAUAAAGCCAUAUUAAAUGAUGAUAAUCAACCAUAUCCAUUCCCUAAGAAUUACAAAGUAAUUCUCAUUCUCACUGCUGCCUUCUUCAGCCAAAAGAAAGUUAGGCAUCAUGGUAGUACGAAAGGGGAGUGAUAAAUAUUACAACUCAGAUUCCCUAAAUCUAGUGGCACGAGUAAGAGCAACUCUAACUAUAAUAGAAAUACAAGAUACACAGUUGUAUAUCUCGAAGCUGAAAAUAAAGAUAUCAAAACAUAGAAGAAGCUAGGAACAUGCUCCAGAUGGAAUGCUCACCACUAAUUCAAGUAGAUAUACAUGUUCCGUCAAUAGCAACUCAAUUAGGGAUCUGCAUUAAAAGGGUAUAGAAAAGUAGGAUUGGAUACAGUCCAUUUGCACUCCAUAAGCAUCCUAAGCCAACGAGCAAAAUAAAUAACUAAACAAGUAAAGUAAAUGUCAUGACCCAAGCUGAGGCCCUAGCCGUGACGGACAUCCCGAACCACAUAGGCUCUAUAGAACCCUUAGCAUCCUACCAGGAGAAUAAUCCACAUAUAAAUUAAAGUGCGAAAGAUAUAAAGACUAUUCAAGGGAAAUUUACAGUACAACUGUGUAAGACCCUGCAAAGUCCUAGUCAUUUUAGUACUUUAUAGCAUGCCAAAAAAGGUCCCAGACGAAGAAAAUUUUAGCGAAGUGUUGACACUUAGUCUCAUUUUUUUCCUUGAUAUUUCAAUGGAAUCAUUUAUGAUAUUUCUGACCUUAGAAUGUCAAUUUUUAAAUUGAUUCAUGAUUAGGAUUAUCUAUAGGUCAUCUCGAGUGAGUUUUAGAAUUUUUGGACAUUGUUUAUUUCACGUUAUGAUGACCAAAACAGCGAGCCAACACGAUCUCAACAUGUCGCAUUAGCUAUCAUAUCGGUACCAUUAAUGCAAUGCAUCGGUCAUCGUGUCGACCCCAUCAAUGUGAUGCAUUGCCUAUCGCAUCACUGGGCAAGUUUUAUGUAUUAAGUUACAAGUUUGUGGGUGUAAUUGGGUCAUUUUUCCCUUAUAAUACUCAGCCAUAGCACAAAAUUAAAACUCCCAAAGGGAAAAACUCACUCAUUAUCUCACAAAUAAUCUUAAGAACAAAGCCCUAGUUUUAUUAAGCUCUAGUCCAAGUCCCAAGAAUUCACCAUAAUUCUCACAAAAUCAACAAUUAAGGUAUGUUAGGUGUUCAUCCUUAGGUUUCCUUCCACCCUUGGAUUUCAAGAACCCUUUUUCUAAAACUACAAGUUUUCAGAUUCAUGAUUUACAUGCGCAAAUUGGGUUGUAUUCAUGUUUGUGUUGUGGCAUGGGUUUCAAUUCAAAAUUUAAUUAUAAGUUUCAUGAACAUAAGAUAGCAUGUGUGUUGAGUGGUGUAAUUCCCAUGUUAGAACCCUUGAAAUUGGAAGUUUAAGUUGUAGUCAUGAUAUUUAUAUGGUGUUCAUUAUCAUGUGCAUUAACCAUGCUCCCGAAGUGCUUGAUAAAAAUUCCAUAUGAGUAAAUUAUGCUUGGUAACUUAUUGUUGUGUUGCUAAAGUUGUGGUAUGAGUUUAUCAAUUAUGCUAUUGAGUCCUGGGAGUAUUUAAUACCUAAAAUCUAGUUUUUUACUUAGUUGCAGUAGUUAUAGAAUAUUCCCUGUAAUGUUUAAGAAUCGUAGUACUCAGUAAGUUAACAGAACUCAGUGAACACAGUCUAGCUCAGUUAAUCCACAGUCAAAAUGACCAGGGUCAGUUCAGUUAAGCUUAGUACAGUCUAUUGAUCAGUGUCUUUCAAUUAGAAGUAGGAUUCAGCAUUGAGCGAACUUAGGGAUGGGGAAUUUCUGCCAGUUAAGGUUUGACCCUUAGUACCAAUCCCUGAGUUACAGAAGUACGUAGCCAGCGUAGGGUAAGUCGUCCUCCAGCCAGACUAGGGUUGAUGCAAUCAUAUACAUACUUCAUAAGUCUUCAUGCCAGAUUAGGGUUGACACAAUAUUGUUAGUAUCACAAUCAGAAUUUAGCACUCAGUACUCAAAUUCAGUAUAAUCUCAAAUACACGAUGUAUAUCGAUAUGCGCAGUAUUGUAUGUUCAGUGGUUACAGUUUUACAUGUACCCUCAUCCAAUUACUUCAUGGUGUUCAUUCAAUUAGUUAUCAUCUUAUGCAUAUGAACCUAUGUUUAUCAGCCUUACCUUACUUAGCAUACCAGUAUAUUCCAUAUACUGAUGCAUACUUACUUUUUCACUAUGAUAUCUCAUAUCAUAGGUUUGGACACUUAGGUUCCUGACCGUACUUAGCAGCUCAGGCUAUCAACAACAGUUAUAGUGGUGAUUCCUCAUAUUUUGAUGACAGAGUUUACCUAUUUCAGUAUUUCAAUAAUUCAGCAGUUAUUUUAGUCAAAGUUAGUUGGGGGUUUGUCUAUCAACUUUAUAUUCAGACAGUUAGAGGCUUUCAGACUAACAGUCAGUUAUUCAGUUUUUAGAAUUUGGGACAUCACUCGAAUGAACCCUCCUUCAUUUUCAGGGUCUAAGUCUGAAGAGGAUCCUCAAGAAUUCCUUAACAAGGUACAGAAGGUAACAGACAUUAUGAGGGUAACCACUAGUCAGAGUGCUAAGUUAGUUUCCUACCAGUUGCAGGAUAUGGCUCAUACAUGGUUUAAGCUAUGGAAGGUAGAUACGGGUGCAGAUGCAGGGCCUAUAGACUAGGAGAAGUUUGCUACUGCCUUUUUAGAUAGGUUCUUUUCAUUGGAGUUGAGGGAAGCUAAGGUAUUAGAGUUCAUCAAUUUGAAGUAGGGCAAUAUAAGUAUAGAAGAGUAUUCCCUUAAUUUUACUCAGUUGGUCAGGUAUGCUCCUCAUAUGGUAGCUGAUAACAGGUCUAAGAUAAGCAAGUUCGUGUCUGGUGUAUAUUAUAGUGUGGACAAGAAGUGUAAGACCACAAUGCUAAUUAAAGAGAUAGACUUGGCUAGGUUGAUGCUCUAUGCUCAGCAGAUUAAGGAAAGAAAACUAAGAAGAAAGAGAGGGAAAGCAAGAGGGCUAGAUUAGGUAGCUUUAGCUUUGCUCAGCCUAAGUUAGAGAGAGAUAAUCGUCCUUAGUCCUGCCCAAAAUCUUUAGUCCUAGAUCUUUCCUCAGCUAGUGCUCCAUUACCUAAAUUUAGGAAUGAUAAUAAGGAUAGGGCGUCAAGCUCAAAAUCUCAGGGUAGUAUGAACAGUGCCCAAAUAGAUCUUUUUUGUCAGAAGUGUUGCAGAAAUCAUCAGGGUGUCUGCAGGGCUGGUAGUGAUGUGUGUUUUGGGUGUGGUAAGCUAGGUCAUCGAAUCAGAGAGUGUCCUUAGGUGUGUUCACAGAGUCAACAUAAUCACCCAUAGCUUAGUCUAGUCGUCUAUUUCAGGAGGGUGCCGCUUCUAGUGUAACCAGUGGGUAGUGCCCAAAAAGUCUCUAUGCACUCCAGUCCCGAUAUGAUCAGGAAAGUUCUCCUGAUGUCGUCACUGGUAUGUUACAAGUUUAUCAUUUACAUGUUUAUUCUUUGUUAGAUCCUGGAGCUUCUCUGUCUUUUGUAACUUAUUAUAAAGCUGUAAACUUUAGAGUCAGUCCCAAAAUCCUAAUAGAGCCUUGCUCAAUCUCUCCCCUAGUGGGUAACUCUAUCAUAUCUCGGUGGGUAGACAGGAAUUUUUCGGUUAUGGUGUCUCAGAAGGUUACUUCAGCGUACUUAGUAGAGUUAGAGAUGACGGAUUUUGACAUCAUUCUCAGCAUGGGUUGCCUCUAUUCAUUCUAUGCUUCAGUUGAUUGUAUAAACAGAGUCUUCUAUUUUUAGUUCCCGAAUAAACUUGUCCUAGAAUAGAGGGGUAUUACUUCAAUGCUUAAAGGUCAACUUGUUUUAUACCUUAGAGCAUGAAUAAUGAUAUCCAAAGGGUGUGUCUAUCAUUUGGUGUGAGUAAAAUACUCUAGUUCUGAGAUUCCUAAUCUUGAGUCAGUUCUAGUCGCAAGUGAAUUUCUAGUUGUGUUCUUCAAAAAUCUCCCUGGAGUUCCUCCUGAAAGGGAAAUUAACUUCGGAACAUACAUUAUUCUGUAUAUUUAGCCCAUCUCUAUUCUGCUAUACAAACUGGAUCCAGCUAAACUUAAAGAGUUGAAAGAACAAUUGAAGGACCUCUUAGACAAAGGGUUUAUCAGUCCUAGUGUAUCUCCUUGUUGUGCACCAUUCCUAUUCGUUCAAAAGAAAGAUGGUUCUCUUAGAAUGUGUAUAGAAUACUGUCAGUUAAACAAAGUUAGGGUCAAGAACGAGUACCCACUUCCUAGAAUUGGUGACUUGUUUGACCAACUUUAGGGUGCCAGUUAUUUUUCUAAGAUAGACCUCAUAUCUGACUAUCAUCAGCUCAGAGUUAGAAAAUGUGACAUUUUAAAAAUAGCUUUUAGAACUUGGUAUAGUCACUUUGAGUUCCUAGUCAUGUCAUUUGCUCUUACCAAUACCCUAACAGCUUUCAUGGACUUGAUGAAGUGAGUUUUUAAGAAGUACUUGGACAUGUUUUUCAUUGUCUUCAUCGAUGACAUUCUUGUCUACUCCUGCAGUAAAAAUGACCAUGCAGGCCAUCUCAAAAUAGUAUUGCAAACUCUCAAAACCCAUCAGUUUUUUCCAAAUUCAGUAAAUGCAAAUUUUGGCUAAGGUCAGUUGUUUUUCUUGGUCAUAAUAUUUUGAGUGAUGGCAUUAGAGUUGAUCCUCAAAAAACCAAACCAGUGAGAAACUAGCCCAGACCUAUCUCUCCAUUAGAUAUCAGGAGUUUCUUAGGUUUGGCUGGCUAUUACCGAUGGUUUGUUGAAGGAUUUUAAUCUAUUGCAUCCCCUAUGUCCAAAUGGACUCAGAAGAAAGUUAAAUUUCAGUGGAUCGAUUAUUGUCAGAAGAGUUUUCAAGAGUUGAAGACUCAACUCACUACAGUUCUAGUUUUGACUUUACCUGAUGGUUCAGACAGAUUUAUUGUAUAUUAUGAUGCUUCCAGAGUUUGCUUGGGUGUGUUUUUAUGCAUAGGGGUAAGGUUGUGGCCUAUGCCUCUAGACAUCUUAAGCCUUAUGAAAAGAAUUAUCCCACCCAUGAUCCUGAAUUUAUCAUUGUUGUGUUUUCCUUAAAGAUUUGGAGGCACUAUUUGUAGGGGUGCAUGUUGAUGUAUUCACAAACCACAAAAGCCUGCAGUAUGUGUUUUUGCAGAAAGAGCUGAACUUGCAUCAGAGAAGGUAAUUAGAGUUGUUGAAAGACUAUGACAUGAGUGUUCUGUAUCAUCCGAGAAAGGCCAAUGUAGUGGCAGAUGCCCUCAGUAGGUUGUCCAUGGGUAGUAUUUCUCACGUUGAAGAUGGUAAGAACAUGUUAACUCAGGAAUUUCAUCAGCAUGCCAGGUUAGGUGUCCAUUUGGUUAAUUCGACUGGGGGAAGUAUUUGGAUAAAAAAUAGUUUGGAGUCUUCUUUAGUUUCCUAGGUGAAAGAAAAGCAGGACAGGGAUCCCAGUUUAGUUAAGCUGAAACAGUCGGUCAGAGACUAGAAGGUUGAGGUUUUCUCCCAAAGGGGAGAUGGUGUGUUACGCUGCUAGGGUAGGCUAUGUGUACCAUGUAUGGAUGGAAUGAGGCAAUAAAUUCUUAGUGAAGUGCAUGGUGCGUGUUACUCUAUUCAUCCAGGGGACACUAAGAUGUACCAAAACUUAUGAGAAGUCUAUUAGUGUAGUGGGAUGAAGAGAGAUAUUGCAAAGUUUGUAGCUAAGUGCUCCAUGUGUUAGCAGGUUAAGAUUGAGCAUUAGAAGCCUAGUGGGGCUAUGCAGGAGUUCAGUAGUCCCACUUGGAAGUGGGAGGAAGUGAACAUGGAUUUUGUGACAGGUUUGCCUCGUACUCGUCAUCAGCAUAAUUCGAUGGGUCAUUGUGGAUAGGAUGGCCAAAUCAGCCCAGGUCUUAACAGUUCAUACCUUUUAUUCAGCCGAGGUCUAUGCCAGGCUUAUUCAACUGAGGUCUAUGCCAAGCUCUCUAACAAAGAGUUGGUUAGGCUACACAGUGUCCCAUUGUCCAUCAUUUUGGAUAGAGCUACGCAGUUCAUGCCUCACUUUUGAAAAGCCUUCCAAAAGGUAUUAGUACCCAAGUCCACCUUAGUACAGCCAUUCACCCUCAGACAGAUGGUCAAGAAGAAAGGACCAUUCGGACUUUAGAAGAUUUAUUGAGAACAUGUGUUGUCGACUUUAAGGGUAGUCUUAGAAACUCUAACCAACUUUCUGAUAUAUAGCUUAGCAUAAUCUUCAAUUGUGUAGGACGUGUGAACUGGUAAGAAAUGAGCUGACUUGAUCAAUCUGUCUACAAUAACCCAUAUCGAAUCAUGUUCUCAACGCGAAUAGGGUAAUCUAGACACAAAGUCCAUAGUCUCCUCUUCCCACUUACAAAUAGGUAUGCCAAACUCCUGCAAAGUGCCACUAGGUCUUUAGUGCUCAACCUUAACCUGUUGACAAGUCGUACACUUGGCUACAAAUAUUUCUAUAUCUUUUGUCAUACCACUCCACCAAUAGUCUUCUCGCAAGUCGUGAUACAUCUUGGUGGCUCCCGGAUGAAUGGAAUAAGGUGCUUCUUCCAUAAUCCGCUGCCUUAUAUCAUCAACACAUUGCACACAAAAUCUACUAUGGUAUCUCAACACACCAUCUCUCCCUUAGGAAAAAACCUCUGCCUUUUGGUUUUUAACUGAACCUUUCAGCUUGACCAAACUAGGAUCCUUAUCCUGCUUCUCUUUCACUUCAGACACUAGAGAAGAUUCUGAACUACUCUAAACCCAAAUAUUCCCUUUAGCUGAUUCAACAAACCUCACACACAAUCUAGCUAACCAGUGAACUUCCUGAACUAAUUCUCUCUUAUCAUUCUCCACAUGAGCAGCACUGCCCAUGGACAAUCUACUAAGGGUGCCUACCACUACAUUGGCCUUGCCCAGAUGAUACAACAUACUUAUGUCAUAAUUUUUCAAUAAUUCUAACCACCUUCUAUGAUGAAUAUUUAACUCCCUCUAAGUAAAUACAUACUAUAAAUAUUUGUGAUCUGUGAACACAUCAACAUGUACUCCUUAAAAAUAGUACCUCUAGAUAUUCAAUGCAAACACAACAGCAAAUAACUAAAGAUCAUGGGUAGGGUAGUUCUUUUUGUGAGGCUUAGGCUGUCUAGAGGCAUAGGCUAUAACCUUACCUCUCUACCUCAAAACACAACUCAGGUCGAUUCUAGAAGCAUCACAAUAUACAACGAACCCAUCUGUACUAUCAGGUAAUGCUAAAAUUAGGGCUGAAGUGAGUCGAGUCUUGAACUCCUGAAAACUCUUCUCACAGGAAUCUGACCACUGGAACUUAACUUUAUUUUGGGUCAAUCUAGACAUAUGAGAUGUAAUAUAUAAAAAAAAAAACCCUUAAAAAUGUAUGUAAUAGCCAGCUAAACAUAAGAAACUUCAAAUGUCUGACGGAGAAAUGGGUCUAGGCCAGUUUCUUACUGCCUCUGUCUUUUGGGGAUCAACUCUAAUACCAUCACUGGAAAUAAUAUGACCGAGGAAAACUACUGAUCUUAGCCAAAAUUCACAUUUGCUAAAUUUGGUGAACAAUUGGUGACCCCUAUGAGUUUGCAACACAAUUCUAAGGUGGUCUGCAUAAUCAUCCUCAUUUUGAGAAUAGACAAGAAUAUCAUCUAUAAAUACUAUAACAAACAUGUUCAAAUACAGUUUGAACACUCGGUUCAUCAAGUCUAUGGAAGUUGCUGGGGCAUUUGUAAAACCAAAUAACAUGACUAGAAACUCAAAAUGAUCAUAACGGGUUCUAAAAGUUGUCUUUGGAAUAUCACAUUCCCUUACUCUAAGCUGAUGAUAGUCGGAUCUAAGGUUUAUCUUGGAGAAAUAACUUUCACCUUGGAGCUAGUCGAAUAAGUCAUUAAUUCUAGGAAGAGGAUAUUUAUUUUUGGCUGUGACUUUAUUCAGUUGAUGAUAGUCAAUAUACAUUCGCAAGGAACCAUCUUUCUUUCGCAUGAAUAGGAUGGGAGUGCCCCAUGGAGAGACACUAGCCUUAUGAAACCUUUAUCUAAGAGGUCUUUAAGCUACUUUUUUAACUCUUUAAAAAUGGCUGAGGCCAUACGAUUUGGAGGAAUAGAGAUAGGCUAAGUAUCUGGAAGUAGGUCAAUACUGAAUUCUAUUUCCUUAUUGGGAGGUACCCUUGGCAAAUCUUCAAGAGAAGCACAGGAAACUCAUUAACUACAUGAACUGACUGAACUGUUGGAGUCUCAGAUGUAGUGUUUUUGACGCAAACUAGAUGAUAGAUACACCCUUUUAUAUCAACUUUCUGGCAUUACGAUAGGAUAUGAAAUGACACUUAGGAGAUACUGAAUUACCCUCCCACUAAAAGACUGGCUUGUCUACAAACUAAAACUUCACCACUCGAGUGCGACAAUCUAUGGAUACAUAACAGGAAUGGAUCCAAUCCAUACCAAGAAUAAGGUUAAAGUCUACCAUAUCUAACUCUAUUAAAUCUGCUAACAAGAUUUUAUGAAGGACAGUGAUAGGACACUUUAUAUAGAUCUGUUUGGCAACAACUAACUCACCUACUGGGGUAGAAACUAAUAAGGGCUGAGGGAUUCUUUCAGGACCUGUUUCAAAAUUCAGUAUAACUAAUGGGGUCACAUAAGAGAAAUUCGACCCAGGGUCUAACAACACAUAAACAUCAAGAUGAAAGACACAAAGCAUACUAGUAACAACUUCUGGUGAAUCCUACGGCUCCAGAUGAGAUAGUAAAACAUAAAAUUGAUUUUGGUGCUAACCGCCACGGGUACUGGAUGACACACCCUGAGGAGGGAAUGGGCGACCUAGAGGGGAUGGUGUACUAGUAGCCUGAGUUUAGGGACGAACAUCUCUGUUUCCUUACUUAGAUUAUGGACACACUUUGAUUCCAUGUCCCAACUUACCAAAACUAUAACAACCUUUCUAUCCCAACAAAUACUUAUAAAGAUAAUUCUUACCAUACUUAACAUAUGGAGGAUAACUGGGUUUUCCUCUCACAUUAUUUUGAUACCUGGACAUAGAUGUCUUAUCCCAAUACUCUUGCCUAGCCCUGGGGACGGGAGUACUAGAUAAAGAUAGCACUGGCAUAGAUGAAUGAUUCUAAAACUGGGAAAGAUUUCCCCCUCCAUACUUUGUUUGGCCAUCCUCAAACUGCCCUGUUCUAGCCUUCUUAUUUCCCCUCUCUUCCCUUUAACUUUUCUUCCUUAAUAUUCUUUGCAUGAAUUAUCAACCUAGAAAAAUUCAUGUACCUAAUAAGCAUGGAAGGCCUACACUCCUUGACUACUAACCCAGAUACUCCAGUAACAAACUUACUCCUACUUGCCCUAGGGUCAGCCAUCGUAUCAGAGGCAUACUUAGACAACUGGUUGAACUUAAGGUAGUACUCAUUCACUGUCAUUGAGCUCUACCUCAAGUUCACAAACUCUUCUAUAUUAUCUUCUCUUAUUUCACACAAAAAAAAACUAUCUAGAAAAGCAUCCUGAAACACCUGCCAACUCAUAGGAGCUGCAUUCUCUUCUCUACUAUUCUUCCACAUAACCAACCAAUCCUAUGCUAUAUUCUUCAAUCUAUAGAAUGCUAAAUCUACACUCUCCUCUUUAAAAACAUACAUAAUCUGGGUGAUCUUCUUCACCUCAUCUAAAUAAAGUUAUGGAUCCUCACCUGUUUCUGACCUAAAGAACUCUAGCGGAUUCAUUCUCAUAAAGUCUCGUAUUCUAGCUGCUUCUAAAUCAUCAUUACGAUAAAGUGAGACUGUCGCCUAAUGGUUGCCCUGAACAUUAGCAGUCACAAUUUGGGCCAACGCCUGAAAGGCAGCCCAAAAUUCAGCAUGGGAUACAUUCUCAUUCAGAGGGUCAGUGGGCUGGGGUGGCUAGUUAUCAUUCCUGAGGGCGUUAGCUUGACGAGGAGGCAUAUUUAACUGUCAUAUAAGAGCACAAGUUAAAAUUAGAUAGAGUUACUAUAAGCAUAAUAGAUCAUAAAAUAAAGUGAUAAAAUCAUAAAAACGUCUCGUAGCCUCUUGCUCAUAAAUAUGGUGCACUCUACACCCAUAAUCAAGACUCUACCUAACGUGACUUGUCUAACUCCCUAGGACUCUUAUAAUGUUAAGCUCUGAUAAAAAGUUUAACACCCCAAAAACAAGUCCUGAGAACGAGUAGCCUUAAGCUAACCCUGUAGGUCAUCUACUAAAUCUGAAACUCAUAAUAGGGAAGUAUAAAUAUAUAAUCAAAUCUGAGCUAAGCUAAAAAUGUCUGAAUAUAAUAUCUAAAAAAUAUAUAAUCUCAGGCUGACGAACCAUCGAUCUAGCGACGGACAAUCACCUAAGUCGUCGCAGCAGAGGCAGUGAACCCUAAUUCUAUCCAGGUGCAAUGGUCAGGACUGAUGGACCAUCGAACCAACGACGGACCAUCGCACCCACCGUCACAUAGUUGAUUCACUUAUUUUAAAUUUAUUUUUAAAAGGGUAUUUGGCUAUUUUUUUUACCCAUUUUAACCCCUAAUAAUAUCAUAUCAAGGCUCAUAAGUUCAUUAUCCAUCUACAACAUCAAAUUAGGGUUUUUCUCUCAAAUAUAAUCCCCAGGAACAAGAUCCAAAUCAUUCUUCAAGAAUCUAAGAGAUUCCAAGUUCUUUAAGUCCAAGAACUUCAAGAAACUCAUAACCCAGGAAUGUCAUAUUUUGAUUUGUGGGUCCCUUUCACCCAUGAAGCUCAAGAAUCUCUUUUCAAAAAUCUAAGAUUUGUGUAUGUAUUAAUGUUCAUGAUUUAAAUUGAAUUGAAAUUCAUGUUCAUGAUAUUGCGGGGUUUUGAUUCAUGUUUUAAAUAAUAUAUUCCAAUGAUUGACCCUAGUAUAUGAAGAUUUGCAUAAUAAUCAUGAUAAACCCCUCUUCAAUUUGCAAGUUGAUUUAUGUAUCCAUGAUUAUCAGAUCUGUUGAUGAUUAUAUACAUGCUCCCUAUGUGUUUGACUAAAUGCCUAUAUCAAGGAAAAGUGCCAUACUAGUAUGAUAAUAUGAAAUCCCCAAUCAUGUACAAGUUUAUGAAUGUCAAAUGUUUGAUAAAAUGUCUUAGUCAGUGAAUUAUGGAUACAUGUGUAGCCCUUGUGGUGUUUUAGAACUUCUACUUCAUAAAAUCCCUAACUUAUUGUAUUAUGGAUUGUGAUGUUGAUCAUGUAUUCAAGAAAGUCAUGCUUUGUCAGUUUCUUUCCAUUGAGUUCUAGGGGUACUUGUACCCAAAAAAUAUAGUUGUGUGCCUAGAUUCAAUGACAUGUUUUCAUGAUAUCCUCAGUCAAGCCAUGAUCCAUAGAACUCAGUCAGUCAUGUGACUCAGGAAAGCUCAGUAAUUCAGUAAUCUUAAUAGUAUUCCGUCAGUUAACAAAACUCCAUAAAUUCAGUGUAGUCCAUUUCAGUUAAUCAUGUUUAGUGUCUAUUCAAAUGGGAGUAGAAAUUAGCACCGAGUGAACCCAAGGAUGGGAAAAUACACGGUCAGAUGAGGGUGUAAUUCUUAGAAGUCAUCCUUGCGUUCCAGAACUAUGUAGCCAACAUAGGUUGAGAGAUCAACACUGUCAGAUGAGGAUUGAUGAGGUGGAUAAACACUGUCAGAUAAGGGUCCAACCAUUCUCUUUUUGGGACUAUCAGAUGAGGGUAACCCACAGGUUGUCCUUACUAGUGGCGUGGUAUAGACACCCUUCAAAUUGGGGUUACAGAUUAGACCCCAACUCAGCUAUAAUGUAUUAUUUGGGGCUUGUCGGUUAGAUGAAUAAUUCUCAUAGUUUCAGUUACAGAAUAAGGACUAUUAGAUACAGUCAUUCAGUCUCAGUAAUAGAACUUAAAUAUUUCUACAAAAUUUAGGACUAUCAGAUAUAGUCAACUCAAAAUAGUAUAAAACUCAUCUAGUUCCAUCAGAAUCUAGACUGUCAGAUAUAGUCUCUCCAUAUUAGUUGUUUCAGUUAUACAUUUAGCAGUAUCUUAUGCUAUCAGUAAUUAGGCUCAGUAAUCAUGUUAUGAUCGAACUCAAUUAUAGUUAUUAUGUAUUCAUGGAUGUAUUCUCACGUUCAUGUGUCCAAUCAGUUAGUAUAGUUUAUGCAUGUGAACCCUUUGUAUUCAGCGUACCUUACAUGUAUACCAGUAUAUUUCAAUGUACUGAAGCAUUUAUGCUAUGGUGUUUUAUACCAUAGGUUCAGAAGCACGAGAUUUAGAGCAUUAGUAGUAUUCCAGUCUUAGAUGUCAGAGUUAGUAGUGAGUCCUCAUACUUCGAGGACAUAAACAAUACUUCAUUAUCUAAUUAAUUUAUUUUAGUAGUUAGAGUUAGUUGGGGAUAUGUCCCACCAACUCCUUAUUCAGGCAGUUCAGUCAGUUAGAGGCUUUUCACACUAUCAUAUUCAGACAGUUUAUUUUAGGUUUUGUUUUGGUAUUGUGAUACGAUAUCAUUCAAAUAUUAUUUUAUCAGUUUUGAACCUUAUGGCCUUACAUCCUUUAUUUCCGCAUUUAUACCGUAUAUCAUGCAGUGUACAGGUACAUAUAUCAGUCAUGGGUUAGCUUAUGGUCCUUCAGGGUCAUGAGCACCAUGUAACAUUCCGAGUACUAGAUUGGGGGCAUUACAACUAUUAGGGAGGUUCUUCUAACCAACAUACACUAUGUGAGCUAUCAUUGAAAGAAAGUUGAUAAAAAAUGAGCAUAUAAUGGUUAGAAUACGAUUAAUUCAGUGUUAUUCAUGAAUUAGGGCUUGGAAAAAGACUAAACUACCCCUUUAAAAAUCAACUUCGAAAAACUAGAUGCCAAUUUUGGCACUAAGCGCGAUGUGGUGCCUAUCUCGGUGCCAUACUAUAAAAAGGACUAGUACCAUUUUUCACUAUGUAGCGAUGUGGUGAAAUUGCAUUGGGCUACUAAAAAAGGGACGAGUCCCAUUUUUACCCUUGGUGCGACACGACAUAAUCGUGUUGCACCUCUAGAAAAAGGAUGAACGAGAACUGGAACUUUACCGUGAUAUGGGCCAAUCACAAUGCUUCACUGGAAUUGGACAAUUGCGAUUCUGCCCAUCACCGCAAUGCAGUGCCUAUCGAAAUGCCCUACUAUUUUCACUAAAACCGUCAUAACUUCUCAACCAAGUAUUGGAUUAAGGCAAAAUUGGUAUCAUUGGAAAGCUGAGCAAAUAAUCUACACAUUGGUAGGUUGAGAGCUUUAAAAUUCUACAUGUAUCAAGAGUUAUUCAUUUUUUGAAGUUUACCCUUGAUAUUCUAGGAGUUAAACUGAGCUAGGAAAAGUAUAGGGUAUUACAUUGUAAGACCCCGCAAAGACCUAGUCAUUUCAAUACUUUAUAGCAUGCCAAAAUAGGUCUCAGACUUUGGAAAUUUCAGCCAAGUGUUGACACUUAGUCUCAUUUUUGGCCUUGAUAUUUCAAUGGCAUCAUUUCCAAUAUUUCCAACCAUAGAAUAUCAAUUUUUAAAUUGAUUCAUGAUCAGGGUUAUCUAUAGGUCAUCUAGGGUGAGUUUUGGAAUUUUUGAACGUCGUUUGAGUCAAAUUUAGAUGACCAAAACAGCAAGCUAAUGCGAUCUCAAUGCAUCGUGUUGGCUGUUGCAUCAUCAUCAUCGACGUGAUGCCUCGGUGAUUGCAUCAACCCCAUCAACACGGCGCGUCACCUAUCGUGUCACUGGGCAAGUUUUGUAUAUUAAGUUACGGGUUUGAGGGGGUAAUUUGGUCAGUUUACCCUUACAAUACUCUUCCAUAACACAAAAUUAAACCUCCCAAGGGGCAAAAUUCACUCAUUAUCUCACAAAUACUCUCAAGAACAAAGCCCUAGUUUCAUCAAGUUGAAGUCCAAGUCCUAAGAAUUCACCACAAUUCUUACGAAAUCAAUAAUCAAGGAAUGUUAGGUGUUCAUCCUUGGGUUUCCUUUCCACCCUUGGAGUUCAAGAAAACUUUUUUUAAAACUACAAGUUUUCAUAUUCAUGAUUUAUAUGCGUAAAUUGGGUUGUAUUCAUGUUUGUGUCGUGGUGUGGGUUUCUAUUCAAGAUUUAACUAUAAGUUUUAUGAACAUAAGAUAGCAUGUGUUUUUAGUGAUGUAAUUACCAUGUUAAAACCCUUGGAAUUGCAAGUUUAAGUUGUAGUAAUGAUACUUAUGUGUUGUUCAUUAUCAUGUGCAUUAUCCAUGCUCCAUAAGUUUGUGAUAAAAAGUUCAUAUAAGUAAAUUAUGCAUGGUAUCUUAUUGUUAUGUUGCUAAAGUUGUGACAUGAGUUUAUCUAUUAUACUAUCGAGUCCUGGCAGUAUUUAUUACCUGAAAUCUAGUUGUUUACUUAGUUGCAGUAGUUAUAGAAUCAUCCCAGUAAAGGUCAAUGUAAUGACCCGAGACUACCCUCAAGUCGCCACACGGUGCUUCGACCCCGAAGGACCACAAGCAAACCCAUAAAUGAUAUUUUUUAUGAGCACUAAAUAAUAAUACUAUAUCAUGUGGAAAAUGGACUGAAAUGCCAUAAGGUUUAAAAUAUCUGAAAUACUAAUAAAUAACAAUAUCUAAUAAAAAUUGAACACUGUCUAAAAACUAUUCUGAAAAGGCUCUAACUGAAUCUGUCUAAAAAUGGAGUUGAUGGGACAAUCUCCCAUCUAACUCCAUCUAUUGAACUAAUACAUCUAUUGAAAAUAUGAAAUAGUAUAAUAUCCUCAAAUGAUCAGAAACCUAAAUCUACUAUGUGUGAUCGGGAAAUUAAGCGUCCAAACCUAUGAUAUGAAACAUCAUAGCGCAGAAAAGUAUGUGUCAGUACGUGGGAAUGUAUUGGUAUGCUAGACGAGGAAAGGCUGAAUGCAAGGGUUCAUAUGUAUAAGGAUAUAACUGACUAAAUGAGAAUAACUGAACAUGAGAGUAUGUGGAGAAUUUGAGAAUACUGUAAAUACUGAGAAUGCAAUAUGUGUGUAUACAUAUAUAUCUAUAUAAACUGUAACUAAGCUUUUCUUAUGCUAAGUAUUGAAUUUCGAUAACUGAUUAACUGAUAUUGAUUGACUGUAUCUGGCAGUCCUACUUUUGUAAAACUAAGAUAAGCUCUGAACUGAAGACUAAAAUUGAGACUGAAACUGUGGGAGGUAAUCAUCUAACCGACAUGCCCCAAAUCUGAACUAAUAGAAGUACAACCUUUAACCCCAGUUGGAAGGGUGCUAAUACCGUACCACGGGUACUAACACUAGAAAACCAGGAUGCCAAGCCUAACUAACGGGUGAGACCUGGGUGGAACCAAGCCUAAUCUAACGGGUGACCCCUAAGAGGUAGCCAAGCCCAGUAUGACGGGUAACUCCUCAUCCUGUGCUAGCUACGUAUUUCUGGAGUACAAGGAUUGUCACUAACGACUCUGCCUAUCUGACGGGGAAGCCAUCAUCUCAACUGUCACUCGGUGCUGAAUCCUACUCCCAACUAAAAGACACUAAACUGAAUAUACUGGACUGGACUAGACUGAGACUGGGUUUACAGAGUUUUCCUAAGUUCUAUAAUUGACUGAGUUCUAUUGAGUUCUAUAACGGACUGAGAGUACUGAUCAUCACUUGACUGAUACUAUUCGGUAACUGACACCGACUCUAGGUAAACAGCUAAAUUGUUGGGUAUUAAAUACCCCUAGGACUUGAUAGCAUGAAAAGUAAAGCAAAGCAUAAUCUUGAAUAAUAUAACAAUGUUCACUUGGUCAUAAUUCAUUCAUAGAGACAUUUCAUCAAACACUUGUAAUGCAUUAACUUGUACAUGAAUAGGAUCAUAUAAUAACAUGUCAUGCCUCCACUAGUCAAUUCACAUAAGCAUUUUAUCAAAUACUUGUAGGGAAUAAGCUUGUACAUGAUUAAGAUCUCAUAAUAACAUCUCAUGAUUCCUCUAUCUAUUUUACAUAGGCAUUUUACAAAAUACUUGGGGAGCAUGAGUAUUUCACAUGAUAAUGGUCAUCACAUAAACAUCAUGAAUACAAUACUUAACUGCAAAUUCAAGGUUGUAGCAUAUAAUUCAUUUAAUUCCCCCUAAAAACUAUUCUAUUUUCCAUGAAUCUUAUCAUAAUCAUGGAUUAAAAACCAAAUCAACGUCAUAAAUACAUUAAUCACUUUAUAAAUAAGGAUCUAUCAAGAUAAUCACAUAUUUGUUAUACGUGCUAUUUACUUUUAUGAAACUUGCAUAUAAAUCAUGGAUUGGAACCCAACUAGUAUUAUAAACUUGAAUUCAAUCAAAUUCAAACAUGAAAAUCAUAAUACAUCAUCUUUGUAUAUUGAAAAAGGAUUCUUGCACUUCAUGGAUUAAAGGGACCUAUGAAUCAACAUCUAAAAUACCUUAAUUUGAGAGAUUCUUAAUGUUCUUGACGGAUUUCUUGAGCUUGACCUUGAUUUCUUGAACUGGGAUUUUGCCCUUUGAGAGAGAAUGGCUUGAUUCUUGAGAAAAUAGUGAAUUAAUGAGCAAUUUGUGCUCUUUUAGGAUUUGAUUGUGUGUUUAGGCUAACUGGGGGUGAGGGAAAAAGACCUUAGUGCCCUCAAAAUUAAAACUCAGAACUGACUGAAAAUCUUAAUUUUGUACGCUGACGCGACGCGGCGCUAUCAUGUCGUGUCACUGAAAAUUAACAAAUGAGAACUGGGUUGAUGGCGCGACGCGGCACCAUCGCGGUGCCUUACUGAUUUUGAAUUUUCCCUUUGGUGCGACGCUCCAUGAUGGUGGAGUCACACUGAAAAGUGACAAUUAGGAAAAAGGCUAGUGGCAUGACGCGGUGGGAUCACGUUGUCUUACUAGAAAAUGACAAAUACCAUUUGGACUGCCUCCGCGAUGCACUGGAGUACUAGGUGGUACACGUUCUUACUAAAAUGGCUUUAACUCUUUGCCCGAGUGUCGGAUUUGGGAAAAUUUGGUAUUGAUGGAAAGAUUAUUCAAUUUUUCACACAAUGGGAGUUCUAUAUAUGGAAAAUUUCACACGAAAUAAAAAGGUAUUCAUUUUAGAAGAUAAUUCUUGAUAUUCUACGGAUGAAAUUAAGCUAGGAAAAAGCACGAGUGUUACAGUCAAGAACUGUAGUACUCAGUCUGUUAACAAAACUCAGUGAAAUCAGUCUAGUUCAAUCAGUCAACACGAUCAGGUUCAAUUCAGUCAAACUUAGUACAGUCUAGUGAUCAGUAUCUUUCAGUUGGGAGUAAGAUUCAACAUCGAACGAACUUAAGGAUGGGGGCAUUCGUGUCAGUUAGGGUUUGACCCUUAGUAGAAAUCCUUGAGUUACAAAACGACGUAGCCAGCAUAGGGUAAGUCGUCCUCCUGCCAGACUAGGGUUGAUGCAAUCAUAUAUAUAUUUCAUGAGUCUUCCUACUACAUUAGGGUUUACACAGCAUUGUUAGUAUCCCGUGGCAAGGUGAUAACACCCAUCCAACUACGGUCACAGGUUGGACCCUAAAUUAGUCAACAUCGGGGUAUGUCAGUUGGAUGAACACUCCUACAGUUAUAUUUUUAGUCUCAGUAUUUAGUAAAGAAAUCAAUUAGUUCUAUAGAACCAUGGGUAUCAUUUAUCAGUCACUCAACCAUCAGAAUUCAGUACUUAGUUUUAGUGUAAUCUCAAAUACACAAUGUAUACCUAUAUGCACAGUAUUGCAUGUUCAGUAUGUUCAGUGGUUACAGUUUUGCAUGUACCCUCAUCUAGUAACUUCAUGAUGUUCAUUCAGUCAGUUAUCAUCUUAUGCAUAUGAACCCAUGUAUAUCAGCCUUACCUUACUUAGCAUACCAGUAUAUUCCACGUACUGUCAUAUACUCACUUUUGCACUAUGAUGUCUCAUAUCAUUGGUUUGGACGCUCAGGUUCCUGAUCGUACUUAGCAGCUCAGGCUAUUAGCACCAGUUAUAGUGGUGAGUCCUCAUAUUUUGAGGACAGAGUUUACAUAUUUCAAUAUUUCAGCAGUUCAGUAGUUAUUUCUAUCAAAGUUAGUUUGGGGUUUGUCCCAUCAACUCCAUAUUUAGACAGAUAGAGGCUUUCAAACUAGCAUAGCCAGUAAUUCAAUUUUCAGAUGUUAUUAUCAGUUAUACUUUGUUGUUAUUUCAUUAUUUUGAGAAUAUUAUGGUCUUUUCAGAGUUCUUCCGCAUAUACUCCAUUUUUAUAUUUAUUGCUCAUAGCAGAUACCAGUCAUGGGUUAGUUUGUGGUUCUUCGGUGUCAUAAGUACCAUAUGACGCCUAGGGUGCAGUCUUAAGGCAUUACAAACUAUGUCAACAAAAUAUGACAACACAAUACUCAAGUUCCAUCUACGAAGCCUAUACUAAAUUACUACUUAAUCUAGAUCGGGACAAGGCCCCUGGACAGACAAUAAGACAACUGACCUAAUAUAAGAAUAGAAUGCCUUCCAAAGCAAAGGAGGCUCACCAAUCUCUGAAUGUCUGAAAAUAAUCUACUAGUUUUCAAGACCAUGAGACUGGGCCUUAGAACCUAAAAUAUAGGGGGUCAAUACUCGAAUGUACUGGUAUGUAGAACAAUCCAAAAAUAAUAUGUGUUUUAUACAACAUAGGUGAGAGCAUUUCAUAAAUCAAUUUAGAAUAAGGUAAUUGAAAACAUAUGGGCAUAAUUUAAUGAGCUUCAAAACAUCUUCUUGAAAUCAUGACUCAACUCUGCAUUCUCUGUUAAGAAAGAUGGUACACCCUACAAUCUAUAAUUCCACAGGCUACAUGGAAUCCUCCCUUGACUUAGCGGCCAAGCCCCCAACCCAAGUUUGCUACAAAGGCUGGAGUCUCUGCAUCUCUACUAUGCCACAAAGUCAUCCCCAGUGUACAAUCCCCUAUUUUAGGGCAACAUAAAACCCAUGUCGGUAAAUCAUGAUUUUGGACAAAGAGUUAUCUAAACUUGUGCUUUAUUUAGAUAACUAUCUAACUCUCUUUAAGCCCCAUUUUAGACUUUUAAAAAUCAUGCUUUCUUCUUAUAAACUAUUUCUCUCUUAUUCUGUUUAGGGCCUAUCAUAACAAGAUAUCGUCAUGCCCAGACUUGUAAGUCCUUCAUUUCAUAUCACAACAUCUAUACUGCCCUUCUUAUUUCAAAGCAUGUUUUGACCACCCAAAAGAUUUAAAAAUCACAUGAGAAUUCAUAUUUCUAAAGUACAUGAAAACUUAUGCAAAAACACUCAUUUUUUCAAUACUUUAUCUACGGUGGUCAUAUCUUUCAUAAAUUACAAACAAUUCUCUAUUAGGAACAUGAACAUUUAUAAAUCAAGGAAAACACCCUCUCAUUUAGUCAUAAAAACAGUACAAUUCCUACAUGAUAGUAAACCUUCAAACUCAAGCUUUUAGCUAUCCGUAUGAUUAACCCACAACAUGUAAAAACAAUGGGUUUCAUAAUAAGAGGGGGAAUUACAUAUAUCAUGCUCUCAUUUAACUUCUCAAACUUAAUAUCACAUGAAAACAUUUCGAAUUUAGGUUACAACGCCACAAUUUCCACAAGACUUCAUCAUAAAAUGGGAUUUUCAAUGCAUGUUCAUCAAUAUUUUUGAAACCCAUUUCGCAUGCAUAAGUAUAUACUCCUUAGAUCUUGUUUAAAACAGUAAAUCUAUGCCCAUUAGGUUUAGGAUAGUCCCACAUACCUUUUUGAUGAAUCAAAUUUGAGACUUGACAUAGCUAUGAUCUUGGCAUGUGUUCUAUGGCACAUGAUCAUAACAUUGUAAGGCAUGAAUUUUUCUUAAGAAUUCAUGACCUACGGUGUGCAUGACCUAACAUUUUUGCCAAAAUAAUGUGGAUUCUACAUAUGAAACAAUUUUUUUUUCAAUUUCUUGAGACUUUCGAUAUUUAAAAUUCAUUAGUUUGACUAUUUUAGAUUUGUAUUCAGUUACUAAAAAAAUUUUAAAAAAUAUACUUAAUCGACAAGUUCAUGAGAGAGGAGAUAUAUAAAAAUAGUAAGUUACUUUUUUACUAUUUGAUGAAUAGUGAUUUUCUACUCUUUUAGAAAUUAGACAGUUUUAAACGUCGCUUGGAUAAAAAUGAAACUUUUAUGCCCUAAAGGGGUCGAUUGGCUAGAAACAUGUCAUCCUGAGAUUAUUUAUUUUUGGAUUACCAAAGGCAUAAUAAAUAAUCUUGUAUUUUAUUUUAGGAUUAUUAUACCUUAUACCUCACACCAAAUGUCUCCUUAAUUAUACCUCCACCAAAUGUCUCCUUAAUGGAUGACUGGCCUUUACCCUACUUAAUCGAUCCAACCCUAGUAGUUCGUAGUUCAAACUCAAUUACAAUCCCAAAUUAAAUCUCUUUUAUUGUUACUUGCUCUAUUUUUUUUUACCAGAUACAUCCCUUUUUCUUACCCAUUAACAAACCAAAAUAUUGGCUACAUGAAUUCUUUUCUAAUGUUGUGUACGGAUUCAUAGGAAUUCAAUUACUUUAAAUUUUAUAUACUUCAUGAUCAGCCUGAUUAAGAUUGUUUCAAUACAUGCGCUGAGAUUUUUGCGAGACAUAAGAAUAGAAUAGAAACAUUCUCUACCUCAGAUGAUACGUCUACUAGCCUUUAAAUUUUUGCAACGGUUCUCCACUAUGCUUUCAGCUAUGAUUACCACGUUUCAACAUCUCAAUCUUAUAAUUUCCCUCUAAAUAUAUAACUACAAGAGCUUGAUAUAAUUGUAUAGUACUUCUAUGUUGAAACAUAAACAAGAGUAAAGAGACGCUAGCUUAAUCUACGGGAUUGCAUACUCUACAUCCCUUUAAGAUUAUUACUCAACACUAACACUAUAAUCAAACAACCUCAGGUCUUAAAUCGAGUAAUACUAACCACAUAGCACAUCGGUUUGAGUAUCUAUCAAUCAUAACAUUCAAACCUAUCUCUACUAUACCCAUUUUAUAGAUUUUCCCUCGAAAACCUACAACUUCAAUAAUUCUCACAAAGAUUUUUCCCACAUAUUGCCUUCCUAACUAUUUCACAUAGUGAAAGUUUAUCUACUUCUGUCCCCCUUCACCUAUCACCUUAGCUCGAGAAAUUACAUCAAAAUUUUCAUAUCAAUAACAUCUAUUCCCCUACCUAAAACAUUACUACGCUUCCACAACUACCACCAUACUAACAUACGGAGGGUCAUUAAGGGACCCGAGCAUAAGCACUAUAAAUAAGAGUAACACUAUUUGACUAUAACUUAUAUUUAUUGCACAACUCAAGGUGAGACAUGAGUUGUAGAUACGAUACAAUAGACAUGAAGUGCUUCAUAUAUCAUGUGUCUGGAUCAUAAGUAUAGAAUCGUUUGGAAGAAACACAACACAACAUGAGUUAUUAGAUAGACCACAGUGACAAACAUGAGCUCUUACACUGUGAUUCAUAUAACGUAAGGUCAGAAUUCAUGAAGUCAAUGAUUAAGACAAGGAUUGAUACAUGGAGUUGUUGCUUCUCAUUUUUGGAGCUAAGAUUGUCAAGAGUUCGCAUGCACCUUAUCACUUUGGCUAAUCCCAACAUAAAAUAAAUCAGUAAUAUAUAGAAAGUAUAGUUCCUUAUAAAUAAGCAUGAUAUGAGACAUGGAUCUGUAGGUCAUGAGCAUCACUACAUAGAUCUUGAAUACAUGAAAGACUGGAUGUACUGAGACAUCAUUGCUUCUAGUUUGAAGGUCGGAACAUGACAUGACUUACAUAGAUAACUCAGACCUUAGACAUGGGCAGGACUUGAAUACAUAAGACAUUAAUAGAAUGACCACUUAAAUUGAAGUAGGAGGAGUUUUCUUGAAUAGGACUAGAUUUAUCAUGACUCUUCCCUAAAACUUUCCACCAUGAGAAAAUUCAAAAACUACCUUAGUUUGCCAUCUUCCCCUUAGAUCAAAGUCACAAUCCUAAACUUGCGUACAUAUCCUUUCAUCAAAUCUAUAACCAAAACUCUCCACACAAUGGGGGUAUCACCAUGCACAUAAAUAUUAAACUCUCCCUGAUAAACUAUGCUCUAAAGGCCUAGUUGUCUAUAUGCGCUACUCUUAACUUCCACUAUCCUAUAUAGCCAUCACCCUACAACUCCCACUCUCAUGCGCAUACACAUCCACACUCCUUAUCAUAUAACAAUCCAUUCUCCACUGCUUAACAUACUUACAUCAAAAUUCUAAUUAUAUAUCCUUACAACUUAAUAAAUUUUGUAAAACUAUACCAAAGGCGCAUAUUUUCUACCUAUAUUUCCUCAAUUAAACUCUUAAGAACACCAUACUGUAGCUUUUCAUACUUUUCUAUACUACAAAAUUGAAGAACAUGGACUAGGUAAAAACGGCACCUAUACAUAUAAAACCUCAUCUAACCACAUGCUACCUGGGGCUUAACUUAUUCUUAUAAAAUCUAAUUCUCUUAUCCACCAAAUAACUCAGCCACAAUUUAUCAUUUUACCACUCAUCCUCAUCUACACAUAUUCCUCUAAAUUACCACUUAAACUUUUCAUAAGUUAUUGACCUAGGCUAUUUCACACAAUAAAUCAAGCCUACUAAUUCAUUCCUACAAAACAUGCAUCAUUAGUUGUAAGCUACUAUUCUUAUCACCAUAAUGCACAUCUAAGUUCAAGCCUAUUUUCUAACACCAAUUAUGUAACAUCAAUGAAGCAUGCUGCAAUGUUAUACUGGUCCAGCAAAUGGGGAAAUCAACCCAAUUAUGUCAUUUCACUUAACUAUUACCUCCAAUCACAUCCCCUCUAUGACACUACUACUGCACCUCAAAAAUCUAUUACAUACCUUCUCACAUGUAGUACUAGUUUACAACAACUAGAGAAAAGACAAUAAAGGGGGUAAAAUCACAUAGUAGGUAUAGUCGGUCUUAAUCUUAUAAUAUAACCCAUUACGAUCUUUUUCUCACAUUAAAUCAACUUUUCCAUGAAUACAUUUAGACUACUUUCAAAGUUCCUUAAACAUCACUAAGUUUUCCCCAAGUUAGUCUAUACUUAUAACUUAUUGGAUAACCUACCCCUUUUCGUUUACCAUCUAUAAAUGAUUUCUAUAACCACCAUAACUAACCACUCUAGGCUCCUUCCCUAUUUGAAUAAAUAAUAAUCAUAUCCAAACACUUCCUCCGCAGACUACCAUACACUCUAAAAAUCUUGCUAUAAUAUUAGCCAAUCGCCAUAAAAGAGCAAACCACCCCCUAGUCAGGGACUAAAACUACUUAUUUAUGUAAAAGUCACCCGCAUUUUGACUUCUAGACUUGUGAUUUCAUAUAACUAACUUUGGGACCAUCUUACUACCAAGAGGUUAUGACACCUUAACAUAUACUACUACUCGGGUGGAAAUACUGUUCCAACAUUCUGCUAUAUAUCUCUACCCUUAAGCAUGACAUCUACAACAAGGAACUGAACACACUUUAUAUUGCGGGCUUAAAAGCACGAUUGCAUAAUAGCAUUAAGAUAGAGGUAUACACUCGAGUCAAUAUAUUUUGAAGUACUAAUUGACUCUCAUUAAGUCCUUGUGCUAUCUCAUAACUUCAUAGAUAACUCAAUCAGAAUGUACCACAUCAUUGGGAAUCUAAACUUUUGGACUUAUAUUGCCUAGAAAAUGAGGAUUGUAAAAUUGGAGCAAGGAAGGAAUUUGGAUAACUUUCGUAUGGAUAACGCUAUAGCACGAACUACAGUAUGAAAGAAUGAGAAACACUCCUAAAUGCCCGAUAGCCUCCUGAUUAUAAGUGUGGUGCACAACACACCUAUAAGCAAGACUUUACUAGACAUGGCUUCGUAGACACUCUGGUACCAUGAACCAUGCUCUGAUACCAAGUUUGUCACGACCCGAGCCAAGAACCUGGCCAAGACAGGCAUCCCGAACCACAUAGGCUCUAGAGACCCCUUAACAUCCUACCAUAAGCAUAAUCUAUAGAUAAAUAAAAGUGCGGAAGAUAUAAAGACAAUUCAAGGGAAAUUUACAAUGCAACUGUGUCAACAAAAUAUGACAACACAAUACUCAACUUCCGUCUAUGAAGCCUUAACUGAAUUACUAGUCAAUCUAGAUCGAGGCAAGGCCCCCAGCCGGACCAUAAGACAACUGAACUAACAUAAGAAUAGAAUGCCUUCCGAAGCAAGGGAGGCUCACCAAUCUCAGAAAGUCUUAAAAUAAUAUAUUGGUUUGCAAGACCAUAGGUCUGGGCCUCAAAACCUGAAAUAUAGGGGGUUAAUACUCAAAAUUACGUAAAACAAUCUGAAAAAUAAAAUUUGUUUUAUACAACAUAGGUAAGAGCAUUUUAUAAAUCAAUUUAGCAUAAAGUAAUUGCAAACACAUAGGCAUAAUUUAAUAAGCUCCAAAACAUCUUCUUGAGAUCAUGACUCAACAACACCCUACAAUCUGUAAUUCCUUGGGCUAUAUGGAAUCCGUCCAUAACUCGGUGGCCAAGCCCCCAACCCAAGUUUGUCGUGAGGGUUGGAGUCUCUGUAUCCCUACUAUGCCACAAAGUCGUUGCCAACAUACAAUCCCUUAUUUCAGGGCAAUAUAAAGCCCGGGUCAGCAAAUCACAAUUUGAGGCAAUGAGUUAUCUGAACUCAUGACUUCGUCGGGUGACCAUCUAACUCUCUUUAAGCCCUAUUUUAAACUCAUAAAAAUUAUAUUUUUUCUUAUAAAUUGUUUCUCUCUUAUUCUGUUUAAGGAACAUCAUAAUAGGGUAUCGUCAUACCCAGACUUAUAAGUCCUUCAUUUCAUAUCACAAUAUCUCUACUUCCUUUCUUAUUUCAAAGCGUGUUAUUUACCACCCAAAAGAUUUAAAAAUCACACGAGAGUUCAUAUUUCAAAAGCACAUGAAAACUUAUGCCAAAACAUUCUCUCUUCAAUACUUUAUCUAUGGUGGUCAUCUCUUUCAUCAAUUACCCAAAAUUCUCUAUUAGGAACAUGAACAUUUAUAAAUUAAGGAAAACAACCUCUCAGUUAGUCAUAAAAAUAGUAAAAUUCCUACAUGACAGUAAACCUUCAAACUCAAACUUUUAGCUAUCCAUAUGAUUAACCCACAGCAUAUAAAAAUAAUGGGUUUCAUAAUAAGAGGGGGAAUUACAUAAUCAUGCUCUCAUUUAACUUCUCAAACUUAAUAUCACAUGAAAACAUUUUGAAUUUAGGGUACAACACCAUAAUUUCCACAAGACUUCAUCAUAAAAUGGGAUUUUCAAUGCAUGUUCAUCAAUAUUUUUGAAACCCAUUUCGUAUGCAUAAGUAUAUACUCUUUAGAUCUUGUUUAAAAUAGCAAAUCUAUGCCUAUGAGGUUUAGGAUAGUUCCACAUACCUUUUUAAUGAAUCAAAUUUUAGAUAUCUUGAUUCUAGGCCUUGGAAAUAUAAGUCUUGAGAUGAAACCCUAAUUUUUCUCUCUUUGAGGGAGGAGAGAAGGAGUUACGAGAAAUUGAUAUUUUUAUAUGUAAAUAGGUUUUGAAGUGUGAUUUAAGUCGUGGAGGUAGGGUUUGAGGUGAGAAAAAUACCAAAAUAUCCCUUCAAGAAUCCUAAGAAAAUUGGAGAAAUUCUUCAGUUGACGACAUGGUUGACAGCUCGUCAGUUAGGUGACGGCUCGUCAACUUAGUCGUCACUUUCAAGUUGGGAUUUUCCACUUAAUGACCUAGGCUGAUGACUAGAGCUGAUGGCUAGUCACUUAGCUGAUGGCUCAUCAUAUUAGUUGUCACCUAAGUGAUGGAUUACUAGCGCAGUCGUCACUUAGUUAACAGACAGAUACUUUGAAGUAAAAUGAGCAAAACUUUCUACUCUGCUAUCGGAUUAAGGUGAAACCAUUUUUGUUGAAAAGAAGACUCAAAGAUAUUUUAUUUGGUAUAUAGUAGGCCAUGUAACACAUUAUAUACUAGGAUUAAUGGUCGUUGAAAAUUGAUCCAAGUUGAAACAUUCACUAAAACUUAUUUGAUAGAAACGUUCUCAACUCGUCUUUGAGUUAGGAGGUUUUUAUGGUCUCACUUGACCUCGAAAGAUGUUACCACACUAUACAUUUUAUCAUCACACUUAUAUUGACACAGAACCAUUGGGUUCGGGUCUAUACACUUAGGAAUGACGAUUUGAAUUCAAGCCUGAAAAUGCAGGGUGUUACAGUAAACUACAAAUUACGCAUCCUCUCUACAAAUAGAAAAGUUCCAACGGCUCAAUCUAUACCACUCCUAACAGUAUAAAAGUUCAAUAUAAAUUACAUCAUAAGGAUAUCAACACCACAAAUAAAGAAGUUCAAAUCAUAGAAUUGCUCACAUAAAAGAGAAAAAAUGUAGUGCUACACAAUAAUAUGGAAGGUAGACAAUGCUAAACGGUUCACCUCGUAUAAAUCCUCCGAGCCUAAGCUUCAAAGAUGACCCAUGGGGGGUUCACAACCCAUAUACUAAACAGAAAUCUCAUCAACAAACCUUGUUGAUAUUCACCGGAGUAAAACAUUUUAUAAAGUGGUAAGUUUUCUUUCGCAAAGAAAUCCAAGAUUAAUAGUAAUACCAGAUCCAUGAACAACGAUAUAAUAUGUGAGUAUGCAUGAUCAUGAAAAACAAAAUGAUAUCUAACAGUUAACUCAACAAUGUAUAAAUUAAACUCGAAACCAUCAAUUACUCAGGUAGUUCAUGGUACAAGUCAAGAUAUGCUAGAAAACUACACAAAUCCCCAUAAGGAUAUCUCAAUAACAAAGAAGCAUUUUAUAAGGUAUCAAUAAUAUAAACUCAAGACCCCACUCAAGCAUCACAAUGAUAAUCAUUCCUCAAAGCAAUCAUUAAUACACAAACAAGACCAGCAUAAAACCUCUCAUGAGCAAUAUAAUAAUAAUAAUAAUUAAUCUUAAAAGAUGAAAGCAAUGACAUACUUUCCAAUGCAUAGUAUGUUUUACAAGAUCAUCCUGAGGGUUGUUACUCCUAAUACCAUUGGUUAUUUUCACAAAUAAGAAAGAAAAAUAAAAUAAAAAAGGAGAAAAAAGUAAAAAGAAAAAUAAAAUAAAAAAGGAGAAAAAAGUAAAAAGCACAUAUACUCUGAAAGAAGAUUUAAUUAGUUCCAAUAUCAUACAUGAUUUUAAGAAAAUAAAUAAUAAAAAAGUCACAAGUAAAACACAUAAAAUCAAAAAAUUCAGUUAAGUGACGUCCUGCUACUUUUUUGUUAGACAAAUGAAGAACAUUGUUUAAAAAAUUAUAAAAAUUUAAACACGUUUGAUAAGGUAUUACUUUAAAAUAUAAUGUUUCAUUUCUUUAUAAUUUUUAGAUCAUUGAAGGGGAGCCUUGGAGUAACUGGUAAAGUUGCCUCCAUGUGACCAGGAGGUCACCGGUUCAAGCCUUAGAAACAGCCUCUGGCAGAAAUGCAAGGUAAGAUUGCAUACAAUACACCCUUGUGGUUGGGCCCUUCCCCGGACCCUGCACAUAGCCAGCUUUAGUGCAUCGGGCUACCUUUUUUAUAAUUUUUAGAUCACAAAUAUACAAAAUUUGGAUCAGAAUUCAAAAAAUUUAAAGCACACACACAAUUGCAAUUAAUUUUGGAUAAGUUAUCAAAAAAUUAAAUUCACGUGACAUAAAAUAAGAAGCCCUUAUAUCUAACCCUAAAUUCUAAAUUAUUAUGAUUGAGAAACCUAGAAAAAUCAUUUGAACACGUAACAUAAGAAAGAAUAACAUAAACACUAUGUAUAACUAAUAACAUAUGUAUUAAUAUAGAACUGUCAAAUUUAAUAAGAAACAAAACUCCUAAAUCGAAAGAUAAAACUUUAAAAUCACUAAAAUAGUUAACACAAAAUCCUAAUAUAUAUAACGAAAAUAACUAAUAUCCGUUGUUUUAACACGUGUUUUUAACAUUUCAAGGAGUAAAAAAAACACUAAAAUUUUCUAAAAAGUUAAUCCUAACCGCUAAUUAACAAUAAAUACUAGAAAUCUUACAAAAGAGGAACAAAAACACACAUAGUAAAAGAAGAAUAACAAAAGAACAGCAUUUCUACAUACAAUAUUUAGAUGAGGCAAGAUAGAUAUUAUAAACUUUGUGAUAUUUAUUCGUCCAUAAUAAUUCUCUACUCACUUGUAUUGACGAACAACUGAAAUAUUUUAGAAAACGAGUAAAGAUUUAAUGAGUUGUUUAGUUUAGUGGAUUGGGAACAAAUUAAAAUAUAGUCAUUAAGUUUAUUAAAAUUGAACAAAAUAAUUGGAUAGCAUACUUUGUUUUUUCUAAAAUAAAGUAUAAUUUCUUAAUAAUUUUUAGGGCGUAAGAAUGUAAAGUUCGGAUAACACUUCAAAAAAAAACAUUCACCUUAACAUUUAAUUCCAAAUAAGUAAUCAAGAAAUAAAAUAUUUAGCACAACAAAUUCAAAAGAAGAUCUAGUUAUAUAUUCUUUUAAGAUUUCAAUUGCAAGACCGACUUUUUACCUCGAAACUCAAGAUAUUUAAUUCAUUUUUUUAUUAUUGAUAGGGAUAUAAUUUCUUAGAAGUAUGAUUUAUUAAUGUCACAGUUCAAAUAUGGGUCAUGAUGGCACUUAUCGUGGCUCAGCCUUGAUAAGCCAAUGGCCCAAACUAAGAAAUGAAAAAGUGAAAUCAAUAAUAAUGUAAACCAAAGAGAGACUUCUUGAAUGAAGUUGGACUAAUACCAGCACAAUAAUACCAAAAAUAUGAAAAAAGUACAUAUCCCAAAAUCUGGUGACACAAUACAAAAGCAUCUAUUACAAUAUCCAGAAACUGAAAAUACACAUUUCUUAUAAACAAAAACAAGUAGGGAUAGAUGAGGUCUAUAUUAGUGCUGAGCUCUAAAGCUAAUCAGUACCUCAAAAAUCUGAAUCUCCGGACAAAUCAACUUGUACGCGUGGUGCUAGAAUUGGGAUCUACACUGAAAGACACAUAGGGAUUAGUACGGUUUUUUUGUACUUAGUAGGUAUGCUAAGUCGACUAAGUAAAGUAGAAAAUAAUAUGAGUAAAGAAAACUAUGAGCACGUCAUAUGUAAACAGAAAAGUUCUAAAUGGCAGCUCACACUAUCUCCACUAAUAGUUCUAUAUAAAUACUAGAAAAAAGUAUGUACAAAUACACGCGAAAAGUACACAAAAUAAAAUACAAGUCAAGAAGAUUAAAAAAAUCAUGAAAGAUGUGUAUGCAAUACAAUGAGGAUGGGAUGAAUGGUGAAAGUAAUCGGGUUAGUUUUCUUAUACACCUAUCGAGCUUACAACUUCCAGGUAGGACCCGAGGGGGGGAGGAGGGGGUCGCAACUAAUAUACUAUAAUUCAUAUUUCAAUCUCAACCAACCUCUCUGGCUCGUGUUCACGGAGAGGAUUUUCAUAAAAUGGUCUCAUUUUCUUUUAAAAUAUUAUUCCUUGGUGGUACUAGUAGCUCAUGAAUGUAUAUGUAUGGAAUGAGGAUAUAAUGCUCACAAUCAACUCUAUAGGAAGAUAUAUGAUCCAUCCAACAUGUAUAUAUGUCCACAAUUCAUGAUUAUCAACUCUAAUUAGGCAACAUCAGAAUAAAUAUUCAUGUAAGACAUUUUUUAGAUCAUAUCAACCCUAACUCAAGCAUUUCAAUCAUGAUAAAGGCAAUAAUUGCUCAAAAGGGCCUAAAAUAAUAACUCAAACCCCUGCACGGACAUUAUAUCUAGACUAAAGGCAUUUAAAUUCACUAAUAAGGCUAAUGAUGUCAAAUAAAUUUUCCACGGACAAUACACAAUAUUAGAUAUCACAAGUCAACAAUAAUAGAAUAUAAGUUUCCACAUGGGCACACAACAAUAAUAAUAAUCUCGAAAUAUAAACUACAUAGUCUUUUUUCUCAACUCAAACAAAUCGACUACCCGGGUCAAUAUGAAAAAAUUAAGCCAUAACCUACCUCCAAACAUGAAAUUCUGGCCUAAAGCACUUCAAUACGGAGCUUUCUCCAUACGAAUGACCUCGAAAUAACUACAACAUUCAAUUGUAGCAUCUAGGCAUAUAAAGAAAGCUAAAGAUACUCAUAUUGCUCAUAAUCAAGUUGGGUCCAAAAUCGUUUCGAGAAACGGGUUUUAAAAUAAAAAAAGAUAAAAUUGAAGUUUUAUUUUAAAUACACAUUCUCAAAGAUUAUAGGAGUCUAAGGUUAAAAACUCAUGCAAACAUGACUUUACAAUGAGGUUCAAAUUGAAGAAAAACUAUUUUUUAAGCUUUACUAGGAAAAACCUCAAAAUCUCAUUUUAAAAAUCAUGAUUAACAGAUGUUUUCGAAGAUGAAAUCAAUGAAAAAUAAUGGUGAUAUGAGUUUAGAGGUUACCCACACAAAACACGAUGAAGAAACCCUUAAAAAUUAUCUUUUUUUAAGUUUGAAGGUCUAAAAAUAGUGAAAAGACGAGAAAAGAGGAUUAUAUACAGAGGUUGCUGCUUUAGCGGCUCAAUGACCGCUAAAGAGAUCACCAAUAAAAUGAUAGGAUACAACUAAAGCAGUCACCGCUAAAGCGACUUGUUGGUACUUAAGAGGUUUUUUCUUUAGCAACCAAUUGGCCGCUUAUGCGGCUGCACCAGCUAAUGCCUUGCACCAGCCAAUUUGAAAAUUGUCAAGUUUCCGAUCAGAUCCUCAAGAUUUGUUCUGAAUCCAACAAAAAUUAACCAAAUAUACUGUCAAGAUAUUUUUGAUGUUCUGUACUCAAUGACAAUGUCAAAUUUUCAAAAAAUAAAUUAUUUUUAAUAAAUUAACUCCCGGAGCUCCCUUUUCACUAUUUUACAAACGAAUAAUCGAAAUGCAAAAUAAAGGUUUUGAACCCAAAUCAACCCCAAUUCUAAUCCAAAUUCGACAUUUUGAGUCUAAUGAGACUGUCUAAAUUAUCAUCUGACAUUCAUAAUAACAAAUAAUAAAAUAUGGAUUGACGCAUAAUUAUCAAAUUAGCCUGAAAUAAAAAUCUUAACUCUAAAAAUAAACUUUAAAAAAAUUCUAAAAUAGUUAAUACCAAAUUGUAACAAAUAAAAGAAAUGAAUAUCAAGCGUUUCAAGAUGUGUUUUCAAAGAAUCAUCAAGAAAUGAAAUAUUUAUGUCAAAAAAUAACAUAGGAACCUUGAAAAAGGUUCACCCUGAACUAUAUCACACAAAAUACUAUAAAUCUUACAAGAAUGGAACAAAAAUACACAUAAUCAAAAAAGGACAAUAAGAAAAUAACAUCUUACAACAUUUAAAAAAAAAGUAAGAUAGAUGAUAUUAGGUUUGAUGAUGUUCACUUGUCCGUAAUUCACUCCUUCAACAUCGACCAACAAGUGAUAUUUUAAAAAAAAAAUAAGUUGAGAAUUAAUGAAUUAUUCAAUUUUAUGGAUCAGAAUCAAAUUAAAAAGGAACCUGACUAUAAUGUGAAAUUGUAUAUCCGAGGAAAAUCCUCAAAUUAAAAAUAUAUUUGUUAAGUACAUUUAUGGUGAAAAUAGAAAUAACUGGACACAAAACUGAAUGAGAGUGGUGUAUAUUAAAACUAACCAAUAAAUGAAAGUAGAGAAAUAUAUUUAGCCCUUUUGCCUAUUUUAAAUAAUAAAAUUAAGAUUACUACAUUUAACAUUAAUUGAUUGGCUAGAAUUAUUCUCAACACAAAAACUGAAAAUCAGCAAACAGCUUAUCUUUCAUACUCAGUGUUAAGGGUUUUCAAGACCAAACAUUUUGUUAUUUAUAAUGAUAUAUAAUCUACAAGUGCAAUAAAACUUUUUAGCUAAGGAUAUCUAGUAAAUAUUACGCCAUUACAUAUAUUAACAAUAAUAACAAAUUUAAUAUAAUUUCAAAGAUAUAGAAAGAAUAUUAAAUGGCUACAUGAUGUUAGUUCUAAUAUUGUCAAGUUCUAAUCAAUGUGAUACUAGCGAGAGUUUAUCUCCUAAUUAAGAAAAGUUCAUAUCAUCAUUUGCAUGAGAUCAGUAAUGAUUGCAGCAGCCUCCCAAGUAAUCUUUGGUCCAGAAGCACAUGACCAUGAGAAUAUCAUAUCAAUAAAUAUUUUAGGUUGAAUAGGCAUUGUUAAUUGCUUCCAAUAAAGCCUCUGUAACGAUCCUCCCAGUCGUUUGGAAAAUUUUCUUAUCUUUUCUAUUUUAACGUUCUACAUAAUUUGUAUACGUGAAUUAUGACUCAUGAGAUGAGUAGUAUCAACCCUUGAGGUAUUUAGAAGUGAUUUAAUAAGUUGUUGAAUUUUUUUAGCUUUAAUAAAAUUAAGUCCAGUCAUGGCUAAGGUUCGAUCGAAACGAUCUCAGAUUAGCAUUUUAAUAUUCCCAAUUGGUUCAGAACAUACUUUUAGUUAAUGUACAUAUUUAGUCUGUUUCCUAGAGGUCCCAAAUAAAUUUUAAGAAACUUUUUGAAGUUCUGAAUAUUUUAGACAUUAUUUUAGUUGGUGGUUCAUGGGCCAAGUUGACAUUUUCUUAGUUAUUGAGACUUAUGUACUAGAAUAAAACUUAAGUGGAAAGGGUUUGGAAUAAACUUUAAUAAUAAAAAGUUAUGGUAAGAAAGGGGUACGACAGCUAGCAAUUAUUUUUCCUAUUUUGCAGAUUCAAGAAGAACCUCUCGAUUGACCUCCAGGUAACCCCUUUUACGUGAAUUAAUUUUCUAUUGUCUUGCCUAUGUACCGUUAAGUACAUACUUAUGAGGUGAGGGUAAGUUGGAAUUAAGUGAGAAGUUUUUCCAGGUGAGUUUCGUUAUUGUGGAUUUGAAAUUGGUGUAUUAGGAUUAGAGUUACUAUUUAAUGGGUUGAUUAGGCUGUAGUAGUAACGAGAAUGAUAUGGAGAUUAGUGGACAGUAACGUACAGGUAAGGUUAGUUAGAUAAUGUUAAUGGUGUGAUCUUUAGGAUUAUUAUGAAUUGGAUCAGUAUGUAUUGUUUUAUAAUAACAUUAAUAUAAUUGUCAAUGGUUGGUUGCUAGGAGUAAUGAAAUCUCAUUACUGGACGUAUUUACUCAGAGCCGAACUGAUCAUAUGCUAUUAAUUAAGUACGUAGUGACGGUAAUGGAGAAUUAGCGAUAGGAUUGGCUUAUGUCUAUUGAUUUUCAUGUUGUUGAAGAUUUUCCAGUUUACUAUAGUUUGUGUAUUAUCGUGGACUCCGAGAUUUAUAGAAUUGAGGUCUACAUCUAGAAUUCUUAGAGUAAAAAUAUAUUAAGAUUGGUGAUCAAAUGAUGGUCUGUUUUAGUUGAAAUUUGACGUACUAGUUCAUAUGCUUACGAAAAAAAUAUUUAUUUGAACAGGUUUUAAAUAUUCAGAGACUAUACGGAAGGGCAAAACCCUUGCAUAGUAGCUUGCACUCAAAUUUCUUGGUUGAGGUAGGUUACAGUUUAAUUAGAUUUUAGACUCGAUUCAAUUGCGUGAAUGCUCCUAAAUUGAAUACAUGUUGAUGGGUAUUUGGACAUGCUUGAAAUUGUUAAUCUUUGGAUUGUUAAUGCGUGUAUAAAUGAUUAUUAAAAAUUUACUUGAUGAAAUUGUCUUAUGACUUUAAGUGCACUUGUAAACUUAGUACAUUGUAUUGUAUGCUAUGAGUUUGUGUAAUUUUGAUAUUGAUAAUAUAUGUAUAUAUUGGAUCGAGUACCACGCCAGUACAGAUAUGUAUAUGUUGGAUCGGGUACCAUGCCGGUACAAAUAUGUAUAUGUUGGAUCGGGUACCACACCGGUAUAGAUAUUUAUAUGUUGGAUUGGGUACCACGCUGGUACGGAUAUGUAUAUAUUGAAUCGAGUACCAUGCCGGUACGGGUAUGUAUAUGUUGGAUCGGGUACCACGCCGAUACGAAUAUGUAUAUGUUGGAUCGGGUGCCACGCCGGUAUGGAUAUGUAUAUAUUGGAUCGAAUACCAGGUCGGUAUGGAUAUGUAUAUGUUGGAUCAGGUACCACGCCAGUAUGGUACAUGAACGUAGAUUAUUCCCUACAGAUCAUGACUAUUUGAGAAAAAAUAAGUCUCAUAGCAUGUGUUUACAUAUGUUUGUUGAUUCUGUGGAUAUUUAUAGUAUGGUUGAUACUCUUGAUGGUUAUGUGACUUGUUUGUGAGCACUACUUAACCCAUUGUUGCUCUAUUGUUGAUUUAUUAAAUAUUUGUUAGGUGAUGAUGCAUGUCUACUUGUUAUUUGAUUUAUGUUAUGUACAUGUUAUUAAAUUGAGCUGGCCUAUGAUACCAACCAGUACAUAGUAGUUUGUACUAAUACUAACCUGUACGCUUCUUUUGUUUAGUGUAGAAAGUGUUCUAGAGGCUCAAACAUGACCACACCUCUAGAGUUUGAUAGCAGAUCUUGUUCCAAAGGUGAGCACUCUGUCUCCAGGAUGCCAUGGGUCAUCUUAUUUAUUCUUGUCCAGCUUUUGGGCAAUAAAACAUUCUUUAUUUUCUUUAUUUUGGAUAUCUCUUUAGACAUGAUCUACGUUAGUAGUUCUUGUACAAUGACUUUUGGAUCUUGGAAAUUUUAGUAAAUAGUUUGUUUGACUUCCGCAUUAAUAAUGAUUAUUCUUAGAUUAUUAUUAUUAUGUUGAUUUUAUAAUAAUAUCAUCUUAACAUUGACUAAGUGAUUGGGUAAUGGUUCGAUUUAGAUGGUUCUCCCACAGGAAGAUUAGUGUGGGUGUUACUCACGGCCGUUUGGGUCGUGAUAAAUUUGGUAUCAAAGCCCUAGGUUCAUCGAUCUCGUCAUACAAGAACAUGUCUAGUAGAGUCUUGUGGAACGGUAUGGAGACAUCUAUACUUUUCUUCGAAAGGCUAUAAGACACUCCAAAAAUUCAAAUUCUUCUUCCUUACAUGCUAUUACUUGAAUUCAAUUGGUAUCUGGCGAUUCCAAUUGGUAUAUGUUAAUAAGAGCAAUGUCAAGUAGAGUUCCGUAGAUUAGUGUGUAGGGCCCCCCACCCAACCUUUGUAAGGCUAUGAGGUAUGUUGAAGUUAUUUUUCUUUCUUUCUCUCCAUCGUGUCAUCCUAAUCUGUGACUACUAGAUUGAAUCCAGUUGGUAUCUAGAGAAUUCCAAUUAGUAUCUUAAUAAUUUUGAAUAAAAAUCUAGGAGGUUUUAAUUGGUAUUUGUUAAUAAGGUCUAAAAGUUGUUGUUAAUAUGUAAGACUUGUGAAAGUUGUGAACUUAUUGAUUGCUUGUGUUUGAUAUUUGGCUAAACUUGUGUUGCUAGAUUUUUGUCAUUGUUGUGAACUAUUUUUGUUAAGUGAUGAAAAUUGACUAAGUUGUUUUUGUUGAUAAAUGUGAUGAGAUUAUUUGAUUUCUUGUUAUCGUGAAACUAGAAAUUCUGUGGUGCUUACUUAUUUUUGGUACUAUUAUACUGAUAAGAUUGAUGGUAUGAGAAUUGAGAGGAUGAUAUGAGAAUAUGAUGUCAUGAAAAGAUGGUGAGAAAGUGACCUUAAUAAAAGACUAAGGUGAUAUGUGUUUUCCUUAAUGAGAUGUUUUUGUUAAUGAUGUUGUGGAUGGAUCCUUAUGUAGUUUGAUUAUUUAAUAUUAUUUGGGGAUCCUUGUGUGGUCCGGUCAUUAACAUCGUAUUUAGAAUUUUUGUGCAGUUCUAUUACUGAAAUUAUAGUGGGCUCCUUGUGAGGACUAGCAAAGUGACAUUAUCAUUGAGUUCCUUAUGUGAACAAAUUCUUAAUUCUUGGCAAAAUAACGAGUUUUAAAUAAAAGUGAAAAAAAUUAGUAGAGGUUGUUGAUACCUAUAGAAUUUGAUUGAUGACUUGUCUGGAAUGUGAUACUGGUGAUGAGACUGUCAAUGACCUAUAAUAAAUUUAUUUAUUUAUUUGGCCUUGCUUAUGUACUAGUGGUGUGGGGAUCACUCUUGAGGUGAUUAAGAGUUAAGUAAAGCCCGUAAUAAAAAUAUUCUUAGGUAGAAAUAAGAAUGACUUAGUAUGUCUUAAAUUGGUGUUAGUGAUAUAUGAGAGGUUUGGCUUGACCAUGAAGUAUUUGUCGUUGAAAAAUAUUGAGUUAGUGAUUGUCAGGAGAUAAGUUGUAGCUGUGGAUUUAUACAUUAGGAAAAUUUUGAGAAGAUAAAUUAUUAUUGACUUGACCUUGUGACUGAAUUAUACAUUUGCAUGUUCCACAUAACUUAUACAUGACACUUUUAGAGGAUAGUAAUUCCCAUGAUAAUGGCAAUACAAAAUCAAAUGGCUUAGUUACAUUCAUAAAAUAAUUAAGGAUGAUCUUAAAUGGGAGAAUAAGUGAAUUAUUAAAUGGCAUGUUUGAUCUUUCCUUGAGUGAUACUUAGUGGAUAUUUCUUGUUGAGUGUUUAAGGUAUGAUGAUUAGAUAGAUAUUAAUAAUGUUGUGGAGGACAAUGUGUUGUAGGCUCUAAUUAUGUGGGACCCAUAAAAUAGCAUGUUUAUACCCCUUUUGAAUUCUAUUGUUUUUCAUCUCUAGUUUAGAUUAGUUGUAGUGUAGUAAUAAUGUAAACCUAUGUUUGGGAUGUGGUUUUAGUAGUUGAAGCACGAUUUGUAUAUUUAGCCUUAUUGGGCUAGUGUGGUAGUCUUGAAACUGCAAGUGGGGUACGGUUGACUAGAGUACCUUGUUUUUAGUCAAAGCUUCUAUCUUAGGCUUGAAUAUGGCUUACUUGAAGUCUAGAAGAUGAACUAGGUACCUUAUCCUAGUUUGGGGAAUAGUGUGCCUAAUUAUAGAAAUUAAGGAUUAGAAAUGGGAUCGUCUGGCCCACUUAGGCCUAAAUUUUUGUUAAGUCUUGUGGACUUAGUUGCAGAUAUUAAACAUAGAUUAGGCUAGUAAACCUUAUAAUAAGGUUACUUCGUAACUUGGUAACUUGUAUUGAUGUUCCCGGGUUGUGGAUUUUGAGUUAUAGUUAUGAUACUACCUAUGGAAGUGAUAUUGGACAUUUAGAGAUGAUAUUUCUCCUAGAUACAUUAUAUGGUCUAUAGAUAUGAUAUUUCCUCUUAGACUUGAUGAUUGUCCCAUAGUAUAAUACCCCGUAUGUUUCUAAGCUAGGAAGUGAACCAUUUUUCCUACGUAUGAAACCUCCUAUCCUGCGAUUCAUAAUUUAGUACAUGACCUACAAUGAGUAUCCUAGCAAUAAUAUAGCUUAUGAUGUGUUAAGCAUGUUCAUAUGAGUCACUUAAGGUAAUGCAAGCUAAGAGUUUUUGAAUCCAUCAAGUUUUAGUAUUUGAUUUCACAAGGGUCAUCUUUUAACGAUCAUAACUCGAUGUUUAUGUGGUGUUUUGGUAGAUUUAGACCCACCAAACUGUAGAGAAUCGAAUUAGCUUUCCAUCGACACCAAUUUUUCCCAAAUACGACACCCGAGCAAAAAGUUAUGACUUUGCAAAGUGGAGUACGUCGCCUGACAUAAGGUAUGCGAUAAGGUGUGCAACGCACACCCUAAUAUGUGUGAUAAGACGUGCGACGCACACCCUAAGGUGUGCGAUAAAGUGUGCGCCGCACAUGUGGGUGUCCAGGUGACUUCAAUAGUCCGUUUUUAGGGUAAAAUGGUCCUUUUAUCACCCCCUAUAUAAUGCCUAAACACGGAAUUAAGCCCUUAUUUCACCAAAACAUAUUCUUUCUCUCAAAAUCCUCUCAAGAACACAAGCUAGGGUUUUCAUAGAAGAUUCAAGUUCAAGGAAAUUCCUCCAUCAAUCAUCAAGAAUCUUCCUUAUAACUUAUGCAUAGUGUUCAUCCAGGGAUUCCUUUCGUCCUUGGAGUUCAAGAAUCAAUCUUUGAUUACUAAAUCAUGAAUAUUUUGUGGUGAUAUGGUUGUAUUCAUGUUGUUGUUUGUUGUUUAUGCUAUAGAAUGAGAAUUUGAUGAAUUUUCAUGAAGAUUAUGAUCAUGUAGUUGGAAACCAUGAAUUUGGGUGGAUUAAUGUGAUGUAAAUUUGUGAAUACACCUAUGCUUUAAAGAGUGCAUGCAAGGUGUUUGAUAAAAUACCUAAGAGACUAGAAAUCAUGCAAUAUAGAUAAGUAGAACCCAAAUGACAAGUCCAUGCCUUAUCCCUUAUAACUCAACAUGAAUUCCAUGCAAAAUGUUAUGUAUUAUUGUUGUGAUAUGGAAUGCUCAUGAAACUAGAACCAUGCAAGUAUGUACAUGUUACAUGCAUUAUCUUUCAUGUUCAAGAAUAUGAUAAUCAUGUGUAGUAUGAAAUCCCCUACUUAUGAUAUUGUGAAUUGUGGACUCCAUCCUUAUGAUCAAGUCAGUCAUGUGUGUCAGUUUCCUUCCAUCGAAUCCUGGGGGUACUUGUACCCAAAAAAUAUAGUUGGGUUCCUAGAGCCAUGACAUAUUUGCAUGAUACUCUUAGUCAAGCCAUGAUCUAUAGAAUUUAGUUACUCAUGUGACACAGAAAUCUCAACAGUCUUAGUAGUUCAGUAAUCUCAGUUAUGCUCAGUUAAUCUCAAUAAUCUCAGUACCCAGUAACUUCAGUAAUCUCUAUAAGUCAGUACUCUCAAAAAUAUCAUGAACUCAGUAGUAUUCCAUCAGUCACGGAACUCAGUAAGUUCAGUUAAUCAGUUUAGUGUCUUUUAGAUGGGAGUAGGAUUCAGCACCGAGCGAGCCUAGGGAUGGGGACUCACCCGCUAGUGAGGACUGAGAUCCUUAGAAAAAAUCCCUAAGUUCCAGAACUUCGUAGCCAGCGUAGGUACGAUAUGUCACCCGUUAGAUAGGAUGACAUACUCAGGGUCCACCCAUUAGUACAUUUAUAUAUAUAGGACUGAUCCCAGGAGUCACCCACUAGAUUAGGACUGACUCCACAGUAGCUGUCUUUACCGAUGGUGCGGUAUUGACACCCUUCCAGUCAGGGCAGAGAUUGAACCCCAGUCAACUUAGCAUGGGGCAUGUUGGUUACAUGAAUACAUCCUACAGUUACAGUUUCAAUAUUAGUAUUCAGAGUAGAAAUCAGAAAUCAGGACUAUCAGAUACAGUCAUUAAUCUCAGUAAGGAACUCAGAUAGUUUCACAGACUUAAAGAACACCCUCCAUAUAGGCUUGGUCUCUCAUUAAGUUAUUCAGUAUCAGUACUUCUAGAGAUCUCCCAUCAGAUAGGCUUGAUCUCAAUCUCAGAUUCAGUUGAGUAUUCUCAUUAUUAGUUCCAAAGAUCACCCGUUAUUUAGGCUUGAUCUUAAGCUUAGUCACUCUUAAUCAUUAUUAGAAGAUUUAGACUGUUAGAUACAGUCACUCAGUGUCAUUUACAUCGAUUAGGUCGAUCAUCGUAGUUAUAUUAGUUAAAUCAGUUCUUAUAGCUUGCGUUAUCAAUAUUCAAUUUUAGGACUGUUAGACACGGUCAAUCAGACCAGUUCUUCAUAAUUUGAACUAUCAAAAAUAGUCAUUCAUCUAUUCAGUAUCUCAGUAUCGGUAAAGUCAUGAUAUCAGUAUUCAGACUUAGUAGUCAGUAUCUCCACGAGUUCAGUAGCAGUUAAGUAUGUAUGUAUGUAUUCUCACGUUCAUAUUAGUCUGCAUGUUUAUGCAUAUAAACCCCAUGCACUUAGACUACCCCCACGUAUACUCAGUACUUUAGUUAUACUGACGCAUUCGCACUAUGGUGCUUUCUUUUAUGUUACACCAUAGGUUCUGAGGUGCAAAUUCUAGACCAGCAGUAGCAGUUCAAUUAGCAGUGAGUCCUCUUCUUUCGAGGAAAUGAUCAUUACAUUUAUUAUUCCAGUAUUUCAGUUUAUUUUUAGUUUAAGGAGUUAGUUGGAGACAUGUUCCUUCACCUCCUUAUUCAGACAGUUUAGAGGCUUUCAGAUGAUUAUAGAGUUUUUAGAUUCAGACUUUUGUAUUUUCAUCUUGUUUUGGUACUGUUAUACCACCUUAUUCAGAUGUUUUAUUAUUCAAGAUUGAACCUUAUGGCCUUUUAGUUCAUAUUUCCGCAUUUUUAUAUGUAUAUUAUGCAGUUACAGGUACAGAUAUCAGUUAUGGGUUAGCUUGUGGUCCUUCGGGGUCAUGAGCACCGUGUAGCAUUCCGGUUCAGAAAAUUGGGGCGUUACACAUAGAGAUGCUAUUUCCUCUUAGAUAUGUAAAUUGACCUAGAGAGGUGAUAUUCCUCGUAGUCAUGAUAUAUGACCUAGCGAUAUAAGAUAUUCUAUACAUGAUUAUAAGUCUAUCUAUAUUAUGCCUCCAAUGUGUGAGAUGCCUUCUAUAUGUGAGACGAUUAAAGAUAUGCCACAACUUAUAUAUAUGAUUAUCGAUAUGAGUUUCGGAUAUAUAUAUAUAUAUAUGGGCGUAAGGCCUUGAUUAUGAUGUUGUGACUAUUCUAGAUAAAUUAAUGGGCCAAGGAUUAUGUUAUGAUAAUGGUUGAAUAUUUGAGGAAUGUUUAUCAGUGUAAAGGAUACAAUAACAGUUUAUGAAUUCAUAUAGGUCUGUAUAUACAUCUUUCAGAUAUAGUAUGGAGGAAGAUUUGGUAUGUUGCUUACGACUUUAUUGAUUGGGUACUGGUGAUGGCUAGGAAUCUAAUGUAUUAGUUAAUGAAUCUUGCUUAGUUUAAAUAUGGUAGCUAGCAAUAGUUAAUUCGUGAUGUAUGGUGAGGUCGUGUCUAGCAUUGGUGAAGAUUAGUUAGUAUUAAUGACUAAGAUUUGUCGAUUAGUCGAUAAACGAGGAGGUGUGUAUUAAUGAGGCUAGAUAAGAAAAAAUAUUUGUAAUAAGAGGUGACUAGUUAAUAACUUUAAAUAGUUGCUAAAUGGUUAACUAAUAAAUAGUUAAGAAAGGAUUAGUUGUGAACGAUGGUUAGAUAAUGAAUGGUGUCAGUUAAUAAAGGAUGGUCAGGUGACAAGUAGUAAUGUGUUUUCUAGUAAUGAUUAACGGAUAUAAGAUGAUUAGUUGAUAAUAAUGAAUGGUGGAUAAAUGAAGGUUUUGGUCUAGUGAUGAAUCCUGACUAGGUGUUAGAUGUUGGCUAUUAAAUAAAUAGUGGUUAGUUGUUAUCCUGUGAAUAAGGAUUAUGCGAAGGAUAAUGUUUAGGCUAAUAACUAGAGGUUAUGUGAUGACUAGCAAACUAGUUAUUCUAUUAUAAUAAGUGUUGGUUAGCUAAUAACGAGUAGUUGGGAAGUAUUAACUAGAUAGAUAUUCUGUGAUGAUAUGACUAUUUUUUAUGAGUAUUUUAGUGUAUGCUAAUUGGUAAUGACCAUUGUGAUGAUAUUGAUACUCGGCAAGGCCGUAGGAUAUUAUUGAUGAUAUGUUGAUAUUCGGCAAGGUCGGAGGUUGAUUACGAUGAUUAUGGUCCUGGUGAGGACAGUUAUAAUGAGUUUUGAUAUUGAUUAUGUACUUUCGUUAAUUCCUGCAUGCGUCUAUCACCAGUAUGCGCUUAUAUUUAUCAUCUGAUAUAGGAUGGUUACAUAUAUAUGGGUGAAGAAUAUGCCUUGUGUUGUUGUAUUUUGAUUGAACCUUCUAAAUAUGGGGUGGUGGGGUUACGCAUAGGCUCGUCUAGGUAUUUGGUUUUCCAUAAGUUGAGGACUAAGGAGAUUGCGUCUGUAAGAAUAUUCUAUUGAGGAGGCCACUUAGUAGAACGAAGCAGACAUGCAUAACAAGUAUCCACAUCUUUUUGAUGAUUUAGUUAAUUCUUUAGUUUCCUUUCUUGUUGCUUGUUUGCCUGUUCAGGGACGAAUGAUUGUUUAAUUGGUAUCUGAUGUAACAACACUUCCGGUCAUUUGUGAAAUUUUCUUCUAUUUUAGCGUUCUAGAUAGUUUUUACACAUGAAUCAUGACUCAUAGAUGGGUAUUAUCAACCCUUGAGGUAUUUAGAAGUGAUUUAAUAAGUUAUUAAAUUUUUUUAGCUUUAAUAAAAUUAAGUCCAGUCAUGGCUAAGCUUUGAUCGAAACGACCUCAGAUUAGCAUUUUAAUAUUCCCAAUAGGUUCAGAACAUACUUUCAGUCAAUGUACAUAUUUAGACUGUUUCCUAGAGGUCCCAAACAAAUUUUGAGAAACUUUUCGAAGUUUUGGAUAUUUUAGACAUUAUUUUAGUUGGUCGUUAAUGGGAAAAGUUGACAUUUUCUUAGUUAUUGAGACUUAUGUACUAGAAUAAAACUUAAGUGUGAAGGGUUUAGAAUUAACUUUAAUACUAACAAGUUAGGGUAAGAGAGGGGUACGAUAGUUGGCAAUUAUUUUUCCUAUUCUGCAGAUUCAAGAAGAACCUCUCGAUUGAGCUCAAGGUAACCCCUUUUACGUGAAUUAAAUUUCUAUUGUCUUGCCUAUCUACCAUUAAGUACAUACUUAUGAGGUGAGGGUAAGUGGGAAUGAAGCGAGAAGUUUUUCCAGGUGAGUUUCGUUACUGUGGAUUUGAAAUUGGUGUAUUAGGAUUAGAGUUACUAUUUAAUAGGUUGAUUAGGUUGUAGCGGUAACGAGAAUGAAAUGGUGAUUAGUGGGCAGUAACGUACGGGUAAGGUUAAUUAGAUAAUGUUAAUGGUGUGAUCUAUAGGAUUAUUAUGAAUUGGAUUAAUAUGUAUUGUUUUAUAAUAACAUUAAUAUAAUUGUAAAUGGUUGGCUGCUAGGAGUAAUGAAAUCUCACUACUAUAUGUAUUUGCUCAUAGCCGAACUAAUGAUAUGCUCUUAAUUAAGUGUGUAGUGACGGUAAUGGAGAAUUAGUGAUAGGAUUGGUUUAUGUCUUUAUUGAUUUUCAUGUUGUUGAAGAUUUUCCAGUUCACUAUAGUUUGUGUAUUAUCGUAGACUCCGAGAUUUAUAGAAUUGAGAUAUAGGUCUUGAGUUCUUAGAGUAAAAAUAUAUUAAGAUUGGUGAUCAACUGAUGGUCAGUUUUAGUCAAAAUUUGACGUACUAUUUCAUACGCUUAUGAAAAAUAUAUAUAUUUGAACAGGUUUUAAUCAUUCAGAGACUAUACGGAAGGGCAAAACCCUUGCAUAGUAGCUUGCACUCUAAUUUCUUGGUUAAGGUAAGUUACAGUUUAAUUCGAGUUUAGACUCGAUUUAAUUGCGUGCACGCUCCUAAAUUGAAUACUUGUUGAUUGGUAUUCGGACUUGCUUGAAAUUUUUGAUGUUUGGAUUGUUAAUGCGUGUAUAAAUGAUUAUUGAAAAUUUACAUGAUGAAAUUGUCUUAUGACUUUAAGUGUACUUGUAAACUGGGUACAUUGUAUUGUAUGUUGUAAGGUUGUGUAAAUUUGAUAUUGAUAAUAUAUAUAUAUAUAUAUGUUGGAUCGGGUACCACGCAGGUACGGAUAUGUAUAUAUUGGAUCGGAUACCACGUCGGUACGAAUAUAUAUAUGUUGGAUCGGGUACCACACCAGUACAGAUAUGUAUAUGUUGGAUCGGAUACCACACCGGUACGGAUAUGUAUAUGUUGGAUCAGGUACCACGCCCGUACAGAUAUGUAUAUAUUGGAUCGGGUACCACGCCGGUACGGAUAUCUAUAUGUUGGAUCGGGUACCACACCGGCACAGAUAUGUAUAUAUUGGAUGGGAUACCACGCCGGCACGGAUAUGUAUAUGUUGGAUCGGGUACCACGCCGGUACAGUACAUGAACAUAGAUUGUUCCCUGCAGGUCAUGACUAUUUGGACAAAAAUAAGUCCCAUAGCAUGUGUGUACAAAUUUGUGUUAAUUUUAUGGAUGUUUAUAGUUUGGUUGAUACUCUUGAUGGUUAUGAGAGUUGUUUGUUAGUACUACUUGACCUGUUGUGUUAUAUUGUUGAUUUAUUGAAUAUUUGUUAGGUGAUGAUGCAUGUCUACUUGUUAUUUAAUUUAUGUUGUGUACAUGUUAUUAAAUUGAGUUGGCCAAUGAUACCUACCAGUACAUAGUGGUUUGUACUGAUACUACCUUAUACCCUUCUUUUGUUGAGUGCAGAAAGUGUUCUAGAGGCUCAGACAUGACCUCACCUCUAGAGUUUGAUAGCACAUCUUGAUCCAAGGGUGAGCACUCCAUCUCCAGGAUGCCCUGGGUCAUCUUAUUUAUUCUUGUCCAUCUUUUGGGCAAUAAAAUAUUCUUUAUUUAUUUUAUUUUGGAUAUAUCUUUAGACAUGAUCUUUGUUAGUAGUUCUUGUAUGAUGACUUUUGGGUCUUGGAAAUUUUAGUAAAUUAUUGUUUGAAUUGCGCAUUAAUAAUGAUUGGUAUUGGAUUAUUGUUAUUAUGUUGAUUUUAUAUUAAUAUCAUCUUAACAUUGACUAAGUGAUUGGGUAAUGAUUCGGUUUAGAUGGUUCUCCUACAGGAAGAUUAGUAUAGGUGCCACUCAUGGCCGUUUGGGCCGUGACAGCCUCAGUGAUGAGCAGCCUCAUUCCAGCAAUGUAAGUCUAAUACACAAUGUAAGGAAUUUUACUCUAGUACUAUACAACUACUAAAACUACUAAGUAAAAUAUAUUAUACUCUACAAGUUGUAACAGAAGUACUGUCAUGCUUGUUAUAUUCUAAGGAUUUGCUAUUGAACAUAUACUAGCAUAGUUAGUGUAGCAAAACAAGCAGAAUCAUAGAAAAAUUGUAAUCAUAAUGACAUUGAUUGAAGAAAUUUAGUCUGUAAAAUAAAAGGAAUAUAAAAAGACCAUGAUAUUAAAGCUAAUCCCUUUUCAGGAAUAGCAAUUGAACUUGGUCUGUACAGCAAAAGAAAGAUUAAAAAACAAAGAUAUUAAAGUUAAUCCGUUUUUCUGAGUAAUAGCCAUUGUCACUUCAAUGGUACAGAAUGUAAAUCUAAAUGCUUUAAAGGGUUUUCUACGUCAAAUCCACCAGCAUGGAUGACAAAUUCUGUUGGGGUUAGAAAAGCACCAUUACAAACCCAAACUAUCUUCAACUGUUGUCCUAUCUUAUAUCCAUAUAAAAAUCCUUCAAUCCUCUUUCCAUUUGGUAUGCCACCUCUUGUGGAAACAAAAGGCAAUCUGAGGAUGAGGUUCCUGAGAAUCUCUAUUCUUUCUUCACCACAUAUCGGUGACAAGAUUGAUCUUCGCUCCAGUGACCUACCAUUGACUAGAGGUCGUACAUCAGUACUACCAGUUGGCCCUGUAAUGAAAAGAAGUGCAAGGUAUAUAUUUUUGGGUAAAUAUAAGUAUAAACAACUAAAAAUAGACUGCAAUGAUUCGGUACUUAAGGUAGAUUCUACUUGAUAUACGAGAUCUUGGUUAGAGAGAGAUAAUAUUUUAGUAGGUAAUUUAACACUCCAGGUCGAGCAACAGAUGAAAUUGGCACUACAUACUAGUUGAGAUGCAAUAUGAUACGAACCAAAAUCACACCUUCAGGAUAGUAAUUGUUCAUGUUCUACUAGGCUUCAGCCACCAUCCUUUCAAGACCAAAAUCACACCUUAAUAAAGUAAUAAUAAUUUUCUUUCCAAUUCUUAAUAAACUAUCAAGUAUUAGAUUAUAUGCACUAAUAAAUGUAAUCAAAAUGUGAACAUCUAAAAUUCUAUUUAACUGAUGUGAAAUUUAAAGAUUUAUACAAAGAGAUUAUCCAUGAUGAAUAUUGAGUGUAUUGUUUGAGAAAGCUGUUGGCUACCUACUCAAACUGAAAUUUUACAAUUUCAUACGAAUUAAAGUAGAAUAAUGUAUAUUCAACACCUUGAGAUUUGAUAACUUUGAUUCUUUUCUCGUUUCUAAUUUUCCAGAUUUUAGAAAGAUUAGACUAAAUGUCGGUAUACUAUGUUACUCGUAUAAAGAACACUUUGAAGUAGCUAGCCAAUGCCUGUACUUAGGGAAAUGUUAACUACACCAAAAUGGUAAAAGAGCGAUUUUACUUGUCAACUAGGCAUUAGUUUGAAAACAUGUUUCGUGGAAUUGAAAGAAUUUUUUAUUCAAUGUUGUUGAUUUUACAUAAACAAUUAGAGGGAAAAUAGUAACUAGUACAUACUUUUGAUGCAAAUUCAACUUGUCUUGCUAUUUCUGAAGAAUUUUCAAAAAGAUGAGUUUUAAAAAAUUCCAACACUUGAAAGGUCUCUUAAAAAAUAAAAACCAUCAAUGAAAUUGACUAAAAAUAAAUAAUUAAAUUUAUAAAAUAGUGGUGCAUAAAAAUAAUUUAAUUCAAAUAAUAAAAAUUGUUGUCGCACUAAGAAAAAAAUAAGUAGGUUCGAGUUGCCAAGAACUAUGAUGGUAACUAAUAAUAAUAAUUAAAGUAUUUUCUACUUUCACAAUUCCCUGGAAAAAUUUAUUUCGAGUUGUUAUUUUAAUUUUAAAUGAAGAAGUAUAUAUAUUUCCCCCUUCCCUUUUUGAUUAAGAAGUAUUAAUUUCAAGUUUUGGGGAAAACAAGAAGAAAAUUUUAAAAUUUACUCUUUUAUAUAAAUAAAGACUUUGGUUACUAUUAUUUUAUCUUAUUUGAGGAUAUUUUCUUCAACAACACCAAUAGUUAGAGUAUGUUGGUAACUAAAACCUCCAAUCAAUGAUACUUUACCGUGUCUUUUGCCUCUACUGUUUUACUUUCCUAAAAAAAUUUUCUUUUCUCCACUGUAUUUCCUAUGCACCUUGACACCAAAACACAAGCUUCAAGCAAAAUUCAUGUUCUUAAUCUCAAUUUUCAUUAGUCCAUCAUAAUUUAUUUUUGGUAAGUGCAUCUUUGUUGGUGGAGCAAGUUUUCGAGCAAGUUUUCAUUUGAUGUUUGUUAUAUAUAUGAUACAUGAUGUUAACUAUUUCAAGCCUUAAUCCUUUUAUUUCAAAUCUGUUAUUAUUAUUGCUCUAUUAUACAAAUUAAUUAAUUCAAGUUUUAAUCAAUUUUCUCUAGAUCUGUAGUUAAUAUUGUUAUGAUACUAACUAAUUCAAUUAUCCUUUGGAUAUCUUCUUAGUGUUGUUCUGUGAUACUAAUUAAUUAAAGUUUUGAUCUUUUUAUAUUAGGAUCUGUAAUUAGCUUUGUUUUUUAUAACUUAAAUUAAAGUUAAACCUCUAUAAUUGUUGUUGUUUUAUGAUAGUGCUAUUUCUUUUCCUAAAGGUAACAAUAGUUUUUAGGGAUAAUUUUUGAUUUAAUCACUUUAUUUUUAUUGAUGAAUUAUCAGGAAGAAAGUGGAGAGGAGUCAAAGAAGUUGAAUCUCUAUUCGUAUUGGAGGAGUUCAUGUGCAUUUCGUGUCCGAAAACCACUCAAUUUGAAAGGUUUUUUAUUUUUAAAAAUUUUUACGAUUGCUUUCUUAUUCAGAGAAAAAAAGGAAUUAACCUUUUUUCCUGUUUGUCAUGGUUAGGUAGUGUAGUUAUAGAAAAGUUGAGUUUAGAUUAUGUAGAGAGUUUGUUUAGUAGAGUUCCACCAGUUCACUGAUGAUUACUUGUAGACGUGUAAAUGUAGUAAGUGGUGUUUUUGCAUCAGUAAUCUGGAAAUUCGAAUAGUUGGAGAUGAAAAACAAUUGUCUUGGUGUUAAUGGUUCUUUUUCACUAUACUAAAGAAGGAUGAUUUCCAAAUUUUUUUGUUCCUUUUUACUGAGUGAAUAUCUCAAAGUUUAUUUUGAAAGUUAGAUGUCCAACAUUUUGUGUCCGAAAACCACUCAAUUUGAAAGGUUUUUUAUUUUUAAAAAUUUUUACGAUUGCUUUCUUAUUCAGAGAAAAAAAGGAAUUAACCUUUUUUCCUGUUUGUCAUGGUUAGGUAGUGUAGUUAUAGAAAAGUUGAGUUUAGAUUAUGUAGAGAGUUUGUUUAGUAGAGUUCCACCAGUUCACUGAUGAUUACUUGUAGACGUGUAAAUGUAGUAAGUGGUGUUUUUGCAUCAAUAAUCUAGAAAUUCGAAUAGUUGGUGAUGAAAAACAGUUGUCUUGGUGUUAAUGGUUCAUUUUCACUAUACUAAAGAAGGAUGAUUUCCAAAUUGUUUUGUUCCUUUUUACUGAGUGAAUAUCUCAAAGUUUAUUUUGAAAGUUAGAUGUCCAACAGUAUCUGCUUCGGAUUAAUGCAAUAAAAUGAUAUUCAGACUAUUCUUACAAUGCAUUUCUUUUCAAGUAGUAAAAAUGUGUGACUAAGUUGCUAUCACAUUUCGACUGUAGAUAUACGGAUAUAGAAUGUCACUGUGGGCAGAGCACACAACAACUAUAGAGCAAUUUGUUUAGCGUCCAGAGAGUCUUGAAUGCGUGAGACGGAUGAGAGUAUUUGGUAAACAUAACUGGCUAUAGUACAAGGCUGAUGAAGUCACUGAAAUGAGAGGCCACCUUCUUAAGUAUCCUGUUGAAAUUGAUCGAACGGAGAAAGUUAAGUUGCUUCAUGGUAAGUUUUUUCCCCUCAUUCUAAGCUUGUGUGGGGAUAUUAUUCUAUCCUUCCCCUUUUAACAGAUAUAGACUAGGAAAUAGUAACUUGUUUGGAUAAUGCAUUACAGCUGAGUUUCUGGAGCUCACUAAUAACAUAGUUCUUAAGUCUUAACAAUGUAAAUAUCACUGUCAUGUGUUUAGAAUGUUUGCCUUCUGUUAUAAUUCAUAACAAACUCUGAAUAGCAUAUAGAUACUUAACUGGAAGAAACUACAUAAUAGAGUACAUAUGAUGUUUAUCUAGGCAUGCAUUUGUUGUCUGACUGCAACAGAACAUAUCAAUGGCAUAUACAUAGUCUUCUUGGUCUUUUUUUCUUGUGUGACUGCAGCAACAAAACUAUCCUUAUUAAUUCUGAAACAGGCCCUUCUAGAUGUGUACACCAUUGAAUGAGAAAUAGAAAAACUUGAUGGUAUAAAAGUUAUUGUUAUUGGUGAUCUAUCUUAUGGGAGGACAGUUCGUUCAAUUGCUCACUUGCUUGAGAAGUACCAAGAUGUGAAAAUUUACUUUGUAUCACCUUAUGUGGUUAAAAUGAAGGUAUGAGAAAAGAUGAAAUUUUGAUUGUCUUGAGCUGGUAAUUAGCAUUACCUUUCAUUCAAUUUAAUAAACUUUUGUUCUUUAAACUCAAAUGUAAUUACACAAUGUUAUUUUUGUUUGAUAACAGACGAAUUGUUACGUAUUCAUUUUAGGAUGACAUCAAGGAUUAUUUGACAUCAAUGGGGGUUCACUGGGAAGAAAUUGAUGAUUUGUUGCAGGUCUCUUAUAAAUGUGAUGUGGUAUAUCAAACUUAUAUUCAAAGAGAAAGAUUUGGAGAGGGUUUAUUUGUAUGAAAAGUCUCGAGGGAAGUAUAUCGUGGAUCUGAGUGUCUUAGAUGCUAUGCAGAAACAUGCAGUAGUGAUGCAUCCUUUGCCAAGACUUGAUUAGGUUAAAUUUUGUUAUAUAGUUCGGCAUGUGAUUUCGUUUCUUCUCAUACGACAAUUAUGCUCUUUAAAUUCCUUUAAUGAUUCUCUGUAGAUUAGUGUUGAUAUGUAUGGGUAUCUAAGGUUUGCUUAUUUCAGACAAGCUAAGAAUGGUCUUUACAUUCGGAUGGCUCUUUUGAACCUUCUACUCCUUGGCUGGUGACAGAUGCAAACUUUCUAUAUCUAGAAUAUUGCGGAACUAUGCUUGUUAUCCAUGUCGUGUGGAUUCUAAAACUGUUGUAGAAUUCAAGAGUUUUAUCAACAAAUCUUUCAAUCUUAAUCAAAUUUUAGCCAUCAAUUUCUAUAUCCCCACUCUAUAAAAUUAUUCCAAAUAACCAGCAUCCUACUGAGACAACCAAGAUUAGAAUAUUUGACCAAAUCACUAACCUAUAAAAAGCAAGUUGAAAAUAAAAAAAUAUGUGUAGAUCAUUGCACUUACCCAACUAAGUAUUUAAAAACUUCAACUUAUCUUGAAAGUGUGUGCGAAGCCCUUAAGGUUUGUGUUCUUUUGUCUCUCGGAAUCUAUCUAUUCCCUCAUUCAUGCUAAUUUCUUUUGUUACCUACUUAGCUAAGUAGUGGAACUAUGUAUGCAUGUGUUUAUUCAGUGUUAAGUAUAUAAUUUGUGCAUAUAUGCUUCGAAACUGUUACUAUAUAUUUAUGUGUUUUAUGUAUAAAAAUAUAGUUCAUGGUACUUCAGGAUGAAACGUCAAUCCCUAAACGAAUUAAUAUUAAGAUAGAACACAUAUAGUAAAGUUCUUUAUCCCUAAGAAUGAAACGAUAACAGUUAAGUUGCAAUUUCAUAAGAUCUGAAAUACUAUGUGCUCCGCUAUUAGUCGUUGCCUAUAUCUUUCACUUUGUUAGUUUCUCUUAUCAUUUGAUAUUUUUGUCCUUCAUUUAAUCCUCUUUACUGCUCUUGUUUAUGGGUCAGAUUGUUUCUAAGAUGUAUUUUGUUUAUCAUGAUCUUUCGUGUUCGUUUUUUAUGUGCAUGAGUCUUGCUUUUGUUCAAUUGCUUGUUUGUACAUACUUUGGUAAAUAUAGCAAGGAUUCAGUUUUCUGAAAUUCUCACAAACUUCUUACUUCUUAUAAAUAUUUACGAUGAUAAGUUACAUAAAAUUUUUAGAAAAAGAUAUAAAAAAUAUGCAGUUACUAGAAAAACAGAUAAAAAUAAACUACAUGGAAAAUAAAGAUAUAAAAUUUCUUAAUAAAAAUAUGCAAAAACUACUAAGGCUAAAACAAACAACUACAAAACACUAUAAUAAAACCAAUUUUAAAAGAUAGAUUAUCUAGAUUAUCUUAAAGUUUUAAUCUUAUAUAUACUUAAAGAUAUAAAAAUAAUAGAUAUCAAGAAAAUAAUAUUAGAAGAAGUGAUAAACUAUGAAAUUGAAACUGCAAAUUGUCUAGAACAGCUAUACGAAGAAAUUUACCCAGAAGGAUAUUAUUCAGAUUAAAAAAUGUUAGAAUAUAUUAGACAAACUAGAGAAAAUCAAGAAAAUCUAAAUAAUGAAAUUAAUUAUAGAAACCGAAUUAAGAAAAUAAUGGAAGACCUAAAAGAAAAAUUAAUAUGGAUAGAAAAAACCUUAGAAAAUUUAGAUAAAAGUACAUGUGAUAGUUUAUAUAAUUUAAAAAACUCACUACGAGAAGAACAACACAAGAUAAUAAAUAACAUUGAAAAUCUAGAAUUAGAUAUACAUUAUAGCACAGAUAGGAUAAAUUAUUAUACAAGAAUUUGUAACUCUGCAAUUACUACAGGAUAAAAUAAUUAAUGAAUAUAUCUUACGAAAAAAGUAAAUCAUUAAAAGAUAUUGAAAUUUUAUUAAUUAAAUAAAACUUCUUCAAUCAACUUAUCUUAUACAAAUAGAUACUAUCAUAUAAAAAGAAGAGGUGGUCUGAAUAAAUCAAUGAAGUGAAUUUUUAAAAAACAUGAUCAGAAAAAUGAGAAAAAUGGAGUUUUUGAAAAGAAAAAGAAAUCCAUUUUAUUAUUUCAUUUUAUCAUUUAGACGAAAAAAAUAGUAUGAUUCUUAAGAACUCAACGGGCCCUUCCCCUUCGAAUCAAACAAACAAGGAAGGGAAUCCCGUUGAGUUCUUACGCUUUCAUGUUGAUAACUCAAUUCAUUCGAUUACUACAGGGAUGAACCCAAUCCGGAAUAUGAACCAUAAAAGAAAAUACCUAUUAAACCGAUUACAAGAAUACCAGCUACAGUACCUAUUAUCCAAAGAGGAAUCCUUCCAGUAGUAUCGGCCAUUUACCCCACUUCCCUCCAGAUUUCAUCAAGUGGUCAUGCUAGAGACAUAAACAGUCAUGGAUAAUUAAAUUAUGAGAUCCUUCCGAAUGAGCUAAGAGAAUCUUAUUUAUUCUCUUUCUUUUUCUUAAUUGAAGAAAUAAUUGGAAAAUAAAACAGCAAGUACAAAAAUGAGUAAUAACCCCCAGUAGAGACUGGUACGAUUCAAUUCAACAUUUUGUUCGUUCGGGUUUGAUUGUG